rnacentral:lncRNA from 1 species
UCAAAUGCCAACUUUGACCUCACCUACCCUCACUUCUAUUUUCUUUUAUUCUUAUUUUUAAUAACAUAUUUUAAAUUCGAAAAAAAAGCGAGGGAAUUUAACUUUUAAAAAACAUAUCAACUUACACUCAAUUUAAUUUCCUUUUCAUCUCAGUGUGUUUAUAUAUUCAUGAAUAUAUUCUACUAUUUUCUGUGCAUUUGAACUUCUAAUUUUUUCAUCCAAUCCAUUCACUUUUAUUAGAAAAUCAAAUUUACAUUCAAAGUAAAAGAAAAAUAAAAAUUGAAUAAUUUUAUUAUAGUUUGUAAAUAGCUACAAUUUUUUUACAUUUUAAAAAAGAGCUAGAAAUGGAGUUUCUAAUAAUUUUGCACAGUUAUAUUUGUGAACUAAAAUAAUAGUCUAAUUUUUAAAAAUGUAGAGUAUAAUUGGAUAAAAUAGAAAAGACCAGAAAUUGGGAAAUCAAAAUGAAGUAAUUCUAUUAGAAAAGAAAAGAAUUAUGGAAAGAGAAAGGAGGGAAGGAAUAUGAAAAUCCACAAACAGAGUGGUAGUGACCGAAGAGAAACAAAAUUAAGGGAGGCACACUUUUCAAAGAAGAAGAGGAGGAAAUCUACAAUCAAUCAAGAAACGACACCGUAUUGCAUGGUUCCUCGUUUGCUUUCUAAAAUAUGUACACAGUGUAGAAGGAGUAGAGGAAGUAGGGCCUUGUUUAGACGACACGUUGGGAAAAAAGGGAAAAAAAAGGGGAAAGGUAAUGCGAAAACUCCAAAACAUUCUGGCGUGGAGUGAUGUUUCCAAAGAGCGGGGAAGGGUAACUGCGACAUUUCAACACGGAUGAGUGGCACGAGCAAAAAGGGCAAAAAGGAGAUAGAAAAGAAGUUUGUUCGAUUUUAAAAGAAGAGAGAGGAUACCUAAAUUAAAUAAACAAAAUAAAGGGUUUCAAAUAUUUGCGGAGAAGGUGACUGCGUGUGAGACAAGGCGAAGAGGAAGAGGCGGUCGUUUCGACCCUCAAAAAAAAAAAACUUGGAGAGGGGAAUUUCAAUUUCUCUCUUUCUCUCUCUCUUCAACUCCUUCCCAUUUAUCUUCAUCCUCUUUUUAUCAAGGACGGGGAAGAGUCUACACAAAUGGAAUCCAUACUCUGAAAUGGGACUUUCUCUUCUCUUUAUCAGCUUAUCGUCGACUCCUCCCCGAUCCUCUGCUUUCCUUCUUCCCUCUUGCGCCUAGGGUUUUUCACCCCCACCUCCUUCUUUGUUGAGGUAUGUUCUGUUCUGUUCUGGGUUUUUGUUUUUGUUUCAAUCUCAGGGAUUUUGUUCGAUUUAUGGAGAAUCUUGAUUUGGGAUUUUUUAUAAUCUUUUUUUCUUUUUUCUUUUUGGGGUUUGAGGGGUUGGGUGUGCGCGCCAUCUGAAAAUCCUUGAUGGGUUUUAUUGGGAUUUCUUUUUUCUUCUUUUAAUUUUAAGUUUUCGUACAAUUUCUUUUUUUUUUUUUGGGGGGGGGGGGGGGGGGUCUUUGUUUUGAAUUGAAACCUUCUCAUGUUUGGUUGGAGGUUGAGCUUUGUGAUUUUUUUUUUCGAAUUUAUUGGGUUUGAUUUCUUUUUCUUUUUCCAUUUAGAUUUGUUUUUGGUGUGAUUACUUUGUGCAAUAACUAGUUAUUAAGAUGUUCUUUAUGGCUGAUUAGCUAUGAUUUUCUAUUUGAAUUCUUUUAAUUUCAGGGUUUUGUUUUUUUGUUUUAAUUUUAUAGAAAAGAUUUGACUGAAUAGGACUAUUGUGGGAUGUGUUUACUUUAGCCUUUUUUUUUAUAUUGUUUUUAAAAUAGUGUAAUUUGAUUGAUGUUUUGGCAUCACUUUAUCAAUGUUUUUUAAAAUUUGGCUGAAUGGGAUGAGGUGUGGUUACUUUAACAAUAUUUUUUGUUAUAAAUUAGUGCAGUUCGAUUGAGGUCUUGACAUUACUCAAGCAAUGGUUUGUACAUUGUUUUUUAAAAUUUGGCUGAAUGGGACUAUUAUGGGAUGUGUUUACUGUAGUAAUGUUGUGUUUUAAAUUAGUGCAAUUCAAUCCGGGUCUUGGCAUUAUGUAUACUAACUGGUUUUGGUGCAUCUUCGAAUGCAGAAUCAUGCCGACAUUCACUACAAUUGCAUUGGACAGGUUGUUAGAACCUGGAACUACGAAAUCUAUUGAUAAGUCCCUUCCUAAACCUAAGCCUGCUUUGACCUUUAACCGUGCUCCAAGCUCGAAGUUGGAGAGGAGGAAUAGCACAUCAGUUGCUGAUAGAAAAGUUCAGCGGCCUCAAAUAAAGCCAGCACUCUAUACCACCCCCGAGGCAACUCCUCUUCCGGAUUCACCAUCUUCCUUCCCUCCUUCCCCUUAUAUUGUAAAUCACAAGCGACGUGGGCCUCGUCUCUUGAAGAGUUUCUCUGAGGAUGAUGUCUCUCGUAAAAAGAAGAAUGAUAAGGAUGUAGGAAAUGGGAGCGUGAAGGGUUCUGAUGGCAGUGAUGUAAAAUUGACUGAGGGUGCUUCUGUCACUGUUAACACACCUAUUCCAGACAAAGAUGGAGACAGAAAUGGUCUAGAUUGUGCUAGUAGUAGUAGUGUCGGUGAAAAUGGGUGUGUUGGUGGUGAUCAUGGUGCUACAGCCGUUCAACUAGUAAGCAGUCACAAUAAUCAUGAAAGCAGUAUAAUGACAAGUAAUGGUAUUGCUCAGGAAAAGGAUUCAUUGAAGGUUGUGUCAAAUUCAGAAAGUACUGGAGAUAAUGAAGACUUCUUUGAUCCACAUGAUUCUUUGAGUGUUGCAAGUAACACAGAUGGAGAGGAUAAUGGUUUUGAACGUUCAGCUAAGUUUGGUACUCCUAUGGGUGAAUUUUAUGAUGCUUGGGAAGGUAAGUAUGGGUCUUUGAAUUGAAAAUAUUAUUCUGGCAUAUAUUUCUUGAUCCCAAUAGUUUAUUCUACAGAUUGCUCGGGCCUCUUAAUUAGGCAAUUUACUUGUUGGUUGUUGGUACUUCAUUUGUCAUUGUUCAAAAAUUGUUUUGGACUUUUAUAGUGCAAUAAACUUUCUUUUUUCAUUAUUCAUUUUUUAAUGUUGUAGAAUCUAAUGUAACUGGGUCAGUCAUUGUAUGAAAGUCAUUGUGGUUAAGUUGGACUAUUAGAUAUUCUAUGAUGAAAUAUAGAGAUCAUGCUAGGUGAAAGAUUGGGUAUGGGAUGAAAUGUUGAAUUUUUUUUUUUUUAUAUAUGUGUUGCCUUUGAACUACUUGCAUAAAUUAUGAUUGCUAGCUUGAAUUCAACUUCAACACUAAUGUCCUAGUUUUUUUCUGCAGAGCUUUCCUCUGAAGGGGUGCUACAACCAUCUAUUUCUGAUACUGAACCCGAUCUACGUGAAAUGAGACUAUUGAUGGAAAUAGAGAAACGAAAGCAGGCUGAGGAAGCACUGAAUAAAUUGCAGUGCCAGUGGCAGAGGCUUAGAGCACGGUUAUUGCUUGUAGGAUUGACCCUCCCUUCAGAUCCCACAGUAGCCACAGAAGAGAAGCAGUUAGAUUCUGACCCUGCUGAAGAAUUGUGCCAACAAGUUAAUCUUGCCAGGUUCGUGUCAGAAUCUAUUGGGAAGGGUAUAGCGAGGGCAGAGGUGGAGACUGAGAUGGAGGCGCAGCUUGAAGUCAAGAAUUUUGAGAUCGCUCGAUUGCUGGACCGGCUCCAUUACUAUGAGGCAGUGAAUCAUGAAAUGUCCCAGAGGAAUCAAGAAGCUGUAGGUAAGAAAUCUGUAAACCUUGAUUUAUUUAUUUAUUUAUUUAUUGAUAGAAACAACUACAUUCAUUGAGAAAAAGUUAAAGAAUACGCAUUCAAAAACCAAGCCCACAUAAAAAACCCCUAAAGAAAGAGUUUCCAACUAGGUAAGAUAUUGCCAAGAAAGUAACUAUAAAAAGUCGAAACUAAAACCCAAAGUGAAACAUGAUACGUCACCAACUAUUAAACCUUGCUAGGGUUUCUCUCUGCACCCGGAACACUAUUGUUCCUGUCUCCCUGAAGAUCCACAAUAAAGCCCACACCUAUGUGAACCAAAUAAAACACACGAUCUUUUCCUUUGGAAGGAGCAAAAUACCUUGAUUGUUAUUUGUAAUUUCAAUCACUCAAUGUUGGUACCUUGACCUCCCUCUCUCUAUUAUUUUAAGGGUGGUUGCUGUUGAGGGGUUCGUUAUAUUGUGUGUUUAAUUUCUUUAUGUUUAAUGACUUUUACUCUGUUUCUUGGACCUCUUACCCACUUGCCAAGUUGCUACUGUAUCGAACUUCGAACUUCUUUCUAAUAUAUAGAGAGAAAUAGUAAGCGAUUAGGUUACUGUAAUGACUGGAUUAGAAUUUUUAUGCAUAUAAUUAAAGGCUUCCAAUUAAGAGGCGCAUGAGAGUAACAAUUAUUAACAAGGAGGCGUGGUUCUUCUUUCUUAGUCAUUCUUACAUGCAAAGUUAGGGAUGAAGGCCUGUAACGAUGGAAAUGAUUAUUAGUUAGGAAGAAGCGUGUUUUAUCAUAGGAUUAUUCUUACAUGCAAAGUAAGGGAUGAAGGCCUCGGCCAGUCAUUGGAUUCCACUUAGUUGACAUGAUCACACGUUCCACUCAGAAGAUGCAACUAUUUCAAACAGUGUCCAUGAUUAGUGAAGCUUAUAUUAUCAAAAGAAAGUUGUAGUCUGUGGUUGACCUGAUGUACUUCCAGAAACAAUGCAAAUGCAGUGAACAGAUCAAAGAUUACUGUUGUCUACUGUUGACAAAUUUCUUAUGACCAUUCUGAAUAUUCCAGUAUUAGUUUAAGGCGUGAUCCACUGGUAGCGAUGCAUGUUUCACAGUUUGUUCCCUUGUAUCGACUUGCAAGUUCAACUGAAAUAAUGGAUCUCAAAGGAACGUAACAACAAAGUACUUGUAUGUAAAUCUUCAACCAGUUCUACUUUAUUUCCAUGGAUACUAGAGGGGUCCUUGUUCCAAUUAGUUGUGGGUUGUCAAAAAUGUGCAAGUGCGUCAAGCUAUAUAAGCUCAUUGGCAGGAGUUCCACUGGGUGUAGGUCUAGAUGUAGAGCAGGAUUCCUUUAGAUCCGUUGGUUCCUUUACAUCCCAUUGUCCUUCCAUUUGGUCUUGAUGUUUUUUUUUUUCUGUCAUAAAUUGUUAAGUGAAGCAUUAAAAAAAGUAAUCAAACGGUGGUGAAUAAGAUCUUCUUUCCAUAAAUUAUUCCUGGACCACGUGAUCUACCUCUUUAAGCUUCAGUUCUCUGUUCUAGUUAUGCGUGGAAUGGUCUGUACUGCUGGUUAAGCUUUGUCUGUGUUUAUUUGGUUGUCAGAUUUAGCACGGCGCGAAAGGUUAAGAAGGAAAAGGAGGCAGAGAUGGAUCUGGGGUUCGGUUGCCACUGCAAUCACACUUGGCACUGCAGUCUUAACUUGGUCGUACCUUCCAUCGGGGAAAGAUUUGCCAUCCAGCAACAAUUCGAAGUCCGAGCAUGAUGAUGUAACAGAUUGAUAAAUGCUGACACAAGACUUAGCUUAUGUACCGUGUUAUAGAAAGGAAAAAUAAAAGGAGCUAUACAGCCAAUCAUACAUGUGGUGUAAUGUUGAUAUCAAAUGUUGCUUUUGUCAGAAGUAUUCUCUUCCCCAAGGUAUAGUUCUUAUAAAUCGUCGGCCCCUAUAAUUUAAAGGUGGAAGGGGUUGAUUCUUGAUAUUCUUUUCUUCUUUUUUCAAGAUCUAACAGGGUUAUAACACCUGAAAUUUUGGCAAUGUCAUGCAAUGAAUGAUAUACAGUCUGUUUACUGCUAACUGUAGUUGAAUUAUUUCUUUGAGCAUCAAAUAUUUGAAGAGAGGGCUUGGAACUCUCUAAUGAAGUCUCUGAGUAAUGCUCUUAUCAAAUUUCUUCUUAGGAUAAUAUCUGAGUUUGAUGGCAUGGUGUGGAUGUAUCAACUAAGCUUUUAAUGUUUGCAGAUUGAUGCAUUAAAUUGGUGUUUUGUUCAGUUCAUUGAAGGUUGGGGACUGGCUUCAUGCCUUGUUAGCAUGUAAGUGGGCCCUUUUAGGUCCAUUUUUCUUGAAUUGACCUUUCAAUUUAUUAAAAAAUUUCAAACUUGACAAGGCAAAAGUUCGAUGCAAUUGAACAUGUACUGUUAAAGUUGAUAAAAAUAAAAGCUAAUUUGAAAACAAAUCAAACAUUGCAUUGGCAUUGGCAUUUUGUAAAUCUUUAAAAAUGCUUGUUCGACUAAAUUCUAAGUACGUGCCUCUCACCUUUUUAUCACAUAUUCUCCAAUACCAAUUCACGGAAUAGGAUUCGCCUUCGAGAUGCUUCCUCAGUGAAAUGGUGGUUAUCGGUUUCAAAUUAACACAUUUUCCAUACUUAAAAAAGUUAAAUAAUUCAUACUUAAAGUGAUGAAAAUCAUGUUCGUUACUUCAAAACUACUCCAUCUAAUAUUUGAAUUUGAUGUAUUGUCUUGGUCAUAAGCUUUUCAACACAAUUUUAUCAAGUUUACUGUAGAAUUUGAAAGAUUGAAGAUCUGGAGUAAUUUAAAGAUUGGAUGAAAGUGAUUUUUGCUGUCAUAUAUAUGAGGCCUGAAUUAGGCCUAAGCCCAUGAAAAGUGGUUGGUUAGAGAGACGAAGCCCAAAAGAAGAAAGUAGGUAUGAAAAAGAUAAGAUAUGGUCGGAGUGGUGGGGAAGAAUUAGAGUGGGAGGCUGUACUGUGAACAAUUAAAACCAUCACACUUGUCUCCUUCCGUAGAUUGCGCCUAAGAUUUUCCCAUUUAAAGACUAAUCUUUCUCCAUUUUCAACCUUCUAUAACACUUUUUCAGUGAUAAAGUUUCAAUUUUCAUACCAAAAUUUCAUGAAAUGGGAAACUUUCAAUCUUCCCAACCCCAAUUGAAAUAAUGAGCUAUAAUAACAAAAAAUGUGAAAUAGUGACCAAGGAUGAAGAAAUCUUCAUGGAGGGGAGUGAAAUAAUGAUGGCACCUGUUGAGGACUCUGUUUCACUGCUGGGAAAAUGUGGGUCAGCCCAUUUUUCAGAAAUCUCCAAAGUGUUUGCGUCAAUUGCCGUGUCCACCAAAGAGAUCUGCCUUUAAUGUGAUUUAACAUUGUUUCCAUUCUUGUACUAUCUUCUCUACCAAAUUUUUUGUCGGUAGGAGGGUUAGAGUUUGAUUAGAACCCGAUUCAGGUAUAAAUUGGCCUAAAUUGUCCAAAUUGGAAGUCCAAAUAUGCUAAUGCCUGCAAUCAAUGCAUAAUCAUAGAUUGAAAAGUGUAACAGUCAAAUUUCAAUGAAAAUAAGACAAUCGAGCGUCUUCCACUAAGAUUUCUCAACGCCUGCAAUUUCCCAUCUUUGGUUUCUUUUCCUUUUCCUUUUCUCUUUUUGUGGGGCUCAUCAAAAAGUAACCUUGCUAUUUAGUUAAGAGAAUAGAGAGGGUGAGGAAUGAUACCAUCUUCACUCCACCGGUGACUGUAGUUUUUUAGUUGUCUUUAUAUUGCUUUUCUAGCGGUUGAUAAGAAGACAAAUUCUCAGCUUCUAAUAAAGCUAACUGCUCAAACAUCAUUCUUCAUUUAUGCUCAGAAAGUAACCAAAGCUCUUCCAUUCUCAUUGGUAGCACAGGAAGAACAGAUAUGAAGCUUUGGGUUUUGGCUCUGUUGCUGGCUAUUUUCAUCCAUGGGGUUGCAGGAGGAGAUGGUUUUGUCAGAACUGGAAGAACUCGUUUUCUGUUGAAUGGAAGUCCUUACUAUGCAAAUGGCUUCAAUGCCUACUGGUUGAUGUAUGUUGCUUCCGAUCCAUCUCAGAGGUCGAAGGUCUCCGCUGUGUUUCGUGAAGCCUCGAGCCAUGGUCUUACGGUUGCAAGAACUUGGGCUUUUAGUGAUGGUGGAUAUAGACCUCUUCAAUAUUCCCCUGGAAAUUACAAUGAACAAAUGUUUCAGGUAUUUCAGGAUUCAGGCCAACUGUUUUCUGUCUGUUAUCUAUUAUGUUUGCUUUAUUUAACUUUCUCUUUCACAGGGGAUGGACUUUGUUGUAGCUGAGGCCAGAAGGUUUGGAAUCAAGCUGAUAUUGAGCUUAGUUAACAACUACGAAAACUUUGGAGGAAAAAAACAGUAUGUAAAUUGGGCAAGAAGUAAGGGGCAGUACCUAAAUUCUGAUGAUGAUUUCUUCAGAAACCCAGUUGUGAAGGGAUUCUACAAGAAUCAUAUCAGAGUAAGAUAAAUUGCCAACUUUUUUUUUCCUUUUUCUUUCGGUUAUUUAUAGAAUGAAAGAAGUAAAGGAGACAGGGACCCUGAAAUUUAUGUCUGGCAAUUUGUCGAUUCUAAGUCUCAUUUCAUGUUUCUUCAGACCGUUCUUAACAGAUACAACAGGUUCACCACAAUUCAUUACAAGGAUGAUCCAACAAUAAUGGCUUGGGAGCUUAUGAAUGAGCCUAGAUGCACAUCAGACCCAUCCGGAAGGACAAUCCAGGUGAGUUGUAGCUUUCCCCCUUAACGGAUCUGAGAUGUAGCUAAUGCAUUUAUUGUAUCAGAAAAAGCUUCUUUGAAGCUCAAUUGCUGUCAUUAUCCAGGAAUUAAUAUGCUCUAUUCCAUCAGAAGGACAGAUGUCUUAUGUUUUAAUAGUUCAUCUGAUGAAAUCUUUAAAGCUUACACUGUUUUAAAUAUAGGCUUGGAUUAUGGAAAUGGCUUCCUUCGUGAAGUCCAUUGAUAGAAACCACUUGCUGGAAGCUGGUUUAGAAGGAUUCUAUGGACACUCAUCACCACAGAGAAUGAGACUCAACCCAGGUUUCAACAUUGGUACAGACUUCAUAGCAAACAACAGAAUCCCUGGCAUUGAUUUUGCAACUCUUCAUUCCUACCCUGAUCAAUGGUGAGUAAAUCACCCUUGUCUACUUCAUAGCUACAAAAUCUUGAAUGUUAUAUGACGUUUCCAUUACAUGGGUUUACCUAUCUGAUUCACUAUAGAAGAGUUUAAGAGCUAAAACCAAUCUAAGAGGGUUCUAAUAAAAUUUCUGGAUUCAAACUCAUAGGUUAUCAAGCUCAAAUGAUCAAUACCAGCUUUCAUUCUUAAACAAUUGGAUUUCAACACACAUACAAGAUGCAGAGUCCAUUCUACGUAAACCAAUCCUGCUCACAGAAUUUGGAAAAUCAUGGAAAGUUCCAGGUUACAGCACAAACGAAAGAGACCUUCUAUUCAACACAGUAUACUCCAAAAUAUACGCAUCGGCGAGAAGGGGAGGCGCCGCCGCCGGAGGCCUAUUCUGGCAGCUACUGACGGAAGGAAUGGAUUCUUUUCGCGAUGGAUACGAAAUAAUUCUGAGCCAAAACCCUUCAACGGCGAACGUGAUUACUCAACAAUCUCGAAGACUGUAUCAAAUCAGAAGGAUUUAUGCUAGAAUGCGAAAUAUCGAGAGGUGGAAGAGGGCAAGGGCGGCAAGGGGGAGACGAAUAGGAAAUUGAGAAGAGAAAAGAACUUAGUUGCAAAAUGGACAAUCUGGGGUUGUGCUUUAAUGGCGGAUAAAGAGGAUACUGGGGAAGGGUUUCUGUCUUUGAGAUGAAUCGUUCUUUCGUCCAGGAAGAAAGCUGAGACUUUUUUUUUUGGUGUGGUUUUUGAUGUGGGGUUCGCAAGUUCUUAUAGAUAUAAGUAUAAAUCAUAUAAAAGAAAGAAACUGAAAGUAGGAUCAAAGGAAAUGAGUUUGAUGGAGUUGGGUAUGAAUGGCUACUUGACUCCAAAUUUCAUACACACAAUGUCGUUUGCUGGUUUGUGAUUGUGUUUUUAGUAUUGUAACUUAAAAUCUAAGAUAUGUAUUUACCAUGAAUGCUUUAAUGCAUUGUUAUUAAUUAUGCUAUAUCUUAAGAUAUGAUGUGAAGAAAUUAACGUUUCAAUAAAUCCUUUUUCCUAUCAAAGUCUAAUAUUUCUUAGGAGCUUAAGGAACUAAGCAAUUCGUUUUGAUUUCUACUCAGAUUUCAAAUCGAAUUGGUUCGUUCGUUGGGUUUGCCUGACCCCAAGAGUUAGUCUACCUCUUCGCUCGUUCAGUUGCCACUCUGCUCUAUCCCCUUCCAUCUGCCACUGUCACUUCCAUUCUUCGAUCGGUUGGCUCUCUCUUGGAUAAGUAAAUCACCUAACUAUAUUGGACACAAUUCUCAUAUCACCGCAUAAAAGAAAAAUGAAAUCAACAAUUGUAUUAAAUUAUUCGAGCACCUGUUCACCUCGAGAAAUGAGACGAAGAAUCACAUCCUACUGAAGCAUGUAGGAUAAUAAUGUACAUGUAACUACAACUAUUUUUCAUCCUUGAACCAAUUGUUAAAGACAUAUAUAACAAAGCCUAUACAGAAUCCAGAAGCUCCCAUGACCACAACAACUUGAACCCACAAAUUUGCUGAAAAAGCUUCACUAACCACAGCCUUCCACAACAAAUACCAUAAAAUGCCGAAGAAACCACCCAAUACAGAACCUACCAAAACUUGGCUGAUAGUGUGAAGCUUCUGCGAGACUCGUAGCCAUGACUGUCAAAUACAGGGGAGAAGAAAAGAAAAUAAGAAUCUAAUCUUUUAACCAUAUUUUGUUUUUAUAAUCAACCAAUAAGUUUGGUUUCUACUUUUAAUUAGUAAAUUGUUGGGAAGUGCUUGGACACAAGUAAGAGUUGACGAACAUAGGUGAUAGGACUAAUUAAACACAAUCACAGCGACUGCAUUUAUAGCUUAACAAUUUGAUGUAACUUGAGAUUCUUUAUGCCAAGCCUCAAAUUAAACAUUUAACCAAACCAAAUUGCCAUAACCUAGUAAGGACUACAGCUACAAAGUACAAUACAGCCAUUAUCGUCAGCCAGCUUCAAUUAAAAAGAGAAGAUAUGAGAAUAAACUUACAAAGUAUGAACCAAAUAUGAAGGAAAAUCCACAGAUAGACAAUGAUACUGCAUUAACACCUAGCCAUUCCACCGCUGCAGCAAUAUCAGACGUUAAAAAUAAACUCCGAUCAAUUAAAGUCUUUGUAAAUUAAAUUUUGGAUUACUAGUUUUAGAGGCCCAGAAGCACAAAAAUGGGAUACUAAGAAAACAAUAUGCUUGGUGCAUGGAUGAGGCUGGAAUGUCAAGAAGAAAAAAAAUUCUACAGAGUGACAACUCUUCCAUUUGAUCCCACAAUCUUAAAAGUAUAAAGAUUGGAUAAUAAUAAGUAAAAGGAGAAAAAGAGGAAUAUGGUGUAGGGGUCUUCUUGUUAUUCUCAACCUAGGAAAGAAAAGAAAUAGGUGGAGGAUGCUAUACCUAUAAGGUUGAAAUCACACUUCUAAGUUUUGGGUUCAAGUUCUUAGGUUGAGAACUUUACAACUUAAACUAGGCUGUCUCUCAUGGUUGGCCUACAGUGAGUAAAGUUUUAAUGGAGAUUAAUGGUGUGCCAUGAGCAUAAUGCAAAUAGUGAGGCUUUGAUACUCUAUUUAUUAAAAAAAAUGGUUAGGAAAAUGCCCUAGAAUUAGAAAAUACUUGAACCAUGUCUAACUGAAACAUUCAAUUAGAUUAUUUCACAAGUGCUUUGGAAGCUGAAGUCUUUCAAAAGUUUUUUGUACAACUUGAUACCAAGAAGAAAGAACCAAAGCAUGAAUGUAGCAUAGAAAGUCGUCCCCGACAAUUAAACAGCGGAAGUUAUAAUAGGAGCAAGGCAAGCAUUCUAUCAACUUAAAACAGCGCCUUUCAAAAUCGCUUGUUGCUUAAUGAUGUUAAGAAAUUACCUGAUAAGGCGACAAACAGGACAGUGAAGAAUAUAGAUUGUGCAUGAGAAGAGGGCAUUCCAGGAUCAGAUCUCAAUGUGGCAAUAGGCCGCUCUUGGUUUAGUAUCCUUUUCAGGACUAUAGAAAGUACGGCAUUAAUAACAGAUCCCAUGGCGGUCCACAAAGCUUCGGCAUCAUGCCUCAAAAGAAUUAUACCAGCAAAAAGGGCAGCUACAAGCCACUUGCUCUGGAAAGAAUCAACAAUGUUACCAAACAAUACAGCUACUCCCAAACUGACAAAGUUUGAUCCUAAAUGACCCAAUUUGAAGUCGACAAAGUUCCAAACACUGCAGGAAAGUGGAAAUAUAUGUUCAAGCAUGACAUUUCCUCAGAGUUUGUUGAAUUUUGUGUUACUCCUAUGCACUAACACUACGAGCAAAGUUAAAAUGGAAGUGAGAACAACUGGUACCUUUAAAGUUGAGAUACGAUAAGUUUCAAUGCCAAUAAAGUACUAAAUCGAUUAAAAAUAGGAAACAUGUUGAUACAUCGUACGAAUAAAUCACCCAUUUGGUAAAGAUAAAAAGCAAAACCAAUAGGAUUAAGCACCCAUACAUAAUAAACAAAGGGGGUGUAUUAGAUAUACAGUGUACAAAUCAACAAAGUCACCCAAGGUUUUGUUCAAGCAUCAAUUUGAAAAAAUGAUUCAAGGUAACAGAUUAAUCUCUAGACAGUGAUUAAAAGGCCUAUGAGGCUGCAACUGAGCUCAAACCAACACAUACCCAAAUCAAGAAGAAACGUGAAACUAAUAAAAUUUACAAACCAGCUUAUUGAGUAUAGCCUCCAGCCCACCAGCCGCAUUCACAGGACGAAAUUCAGAAGACCCAUCAAAGAACGACUCUGUCUCUAAGCUUCUAAACCCCUCCUCUCCAUUUCCACACCUAACAGAAGAAGAGGUUCUGGUCAAUUCAGCCAUGCCCCGACCUCUGUUCCGAAAUAGAGCUUCCUUUGAGAUAAACCCACGCAGGAAAACAAGAUUCGAGGAAGGAAAAUGAAGAGACGAUGUGGGUUUAAGUGAUUGAAGCUUAAAAAUUCUAUUGGAGGUAGUUUUGAAAGAAGGGUGCAAAGUGGCGGCGACUGAAAGCGGCAUUUGGGUAAUAAUCCGAGAGGCUGUUAAAGGCAUUAUAAAGGAAGAAGAAGAAGAAAAGGGUUGAAAUCAAGAUUAUGGGUUCCAUAAAUGGUGAUUGUUAAAGAGGAUGAGAAGAAGCAUCUUGUACCGCCACAGCGUCUUGGACGAUGUCUCAUCGUGUGGACUGUGGUUGGCUUUCUUAAUGAACACUUCGAAGGAACAAAUUGUUAACAACCACUCGGCGGCUUAUGUGCCCUUUACCAAAUUCGUGGGAUUCACAAUGACAUCAAUUUUUUUUUCCAAAGAAUUGACGUACUUGGCUGAAGCUCAAGGACAGCCACGGGCCCUACUAGUUUCUUCUAUCAAGCAAUAAUGCGAUAUGAACGAUAGCUCUAAUUCAAAUACAAUUUGUGUAGCAAAAAUAUAUAUGAUAUUCACACACAUGGACACAAUUUUGUAAAAACUACUAUACUAUGCUCAGUUUACACACAUUUCAUGUACAAUUUUUCUAAAACUAAAGUUUGUUCGGCCUACUGAAUUUGUGAGAUUCUACUCUUUCUUUGAUCUAAAAUGUUCUUCCAUGACUUUAGAAAAGAUUGAUUUUAUAUAUUUACACCUUUAUUUCUGGCCUCCACCUUUCUCUAAAAUAUUUUAAAAAACAGCUUAUAAUAAUUUUUGAAGCUUGGCUAUUAAAAUUAAUAAAUAUUUAAGUGUAGUCCACCUUCAUCACAUUGCAAUAAAUAAAUAAGUUAAUUAAAAAAGUUUGUCAUGUGAACAAACAGUUGGAGUAGAUUAAAAAAAUAGAUUGCUCAUUCAACUUUUAAAUUUGUGUCUCAUAAGUCCUUUUAGAUUUUAAAAUGUAUACCAUCUUUUUUAACUUUUAUACUUUUUGACUGAUUCACACCUAAAAAAUACUUUAAUUUAUUUCUAGGCUUGCUUUCUUCAUUUUUAAAAUUUACUUUUAGAUUUUUGUCUAAUACGUCGUCGUGUUCUAAAAUUUGCCUAAUGAUUUGAUGUAUAUCUAAGCAUUUCACAGUGGAUAAAUUAUAAUUACAAUCAAAGAUCCAAUUUUUCACAAAUAGUGUAUCUAAUAAGUUCUUCAAUGUUUGAGUAUAAUAGAAUGUUAACGUAUUAAUUAUUUUCUUAAAAGAUAUUAUUACAAAAUUUUGAAUUAUUAUUUUUUGCUUUAUAUUCAAUAAAUAUGAAAAUUUUAAAUAUAAUAAAAUGAACUUUAAUAUUUAUAAACAAUAGAAAUCAACCUACACUCACACUCAUAAACAUAAAUAAAAAUUUAUUAUUAGUAUCUAUUGAAUAUAAAAAUUUUCUAUAUUUAUUAACUAUUUUGUCCAUUUUUGUUUAUAAUAAUUCUCAUGUUAGUACAUCGGAAGUACUGGAGAUAAGUAAAAUUGAACUUUAUGAAAUGUCAUCUCUUCCUCAACAAGAAAGUAAUGUAAUAAAAUGAGAUGCUCUUCUCUUUUAAGAAAGCAAACAAAAGGAAAAGAAAAAGAAGAAGAAGAAGAAGAAAAAAAGAGUGAACUGCAAAAAGUUUCUCCGGCAACCGCUUCCCAUAUAUUCCCCUCAACUUUCCCUCACCGGAAAUGAGAAAAGAAAGUUUCUUUCUAUCACAUUUAGCAAAAAGAGAAUGACCUCUUUACUGCACACUCAGAUAUCACUCUAAAAAAAAGUUCGGAAUAACAUUACAUCACAUCUCAAAGUAAUAAAAAUUUCUAAUUUUCAGUUGAGUUUCAACAAAAAUAUUAGAAGUAUCUCAUGUAAAAGAAUUUCAAGAAAUUCAUGAACUUCAAUCACUAUAAAAGAAAGAUGGCAGAGGGGGUUUGAUUCUUAUAUUUGAGAGUAAUAAUUUUUAACCAAAUUCUUUUUUAGUCCAAAGGUUCUCAAGAUUUUGAUGUUUUUUCUCCCUUAUUUUUCUGCCCCUAGUAACGAGUUUUCUUUCUCUUUUGUAAUAUACUAUAUAGAAGUAAUCGAGUUAUUGUAUAUCUUAUAAGAUUAUAAGGUCUAUCAUUCUCUUCCAUGUGGAAUCAUGCAUAGAAGAACUUAUUUUAUUCCUAGAACUAACAAAGCUUCCUUUGAAGUCUCUGAACUUCCCCCAUGGCCUUACAAAGAUAAUCACAACCACCAACAUAGAGCUUUUCCUAAAAGGAAAAAGAAGAGAAAAAAAUACCCAUUUGAAAAAUUAUUCUCAUAAACUAUUCAAAGAAAGUUCAAACCCGAAAAGAAAAAAGAAAAAAAAAAAAAGAAGAAGAAAGGAAGAAAGGAAUCUCAGUGUUUUUCUCAUGCUCUUUAAACCAUAGUUUCUUUCAAGAAGACCUCAAAUUGAAACUUUUCUCUUCACAAUGAAAACAGUGGAAGUGAAAGCAAUGGGAGUCUACAAACUUCUUCAAAUCAUGGUGAAAAUUUUCCGAUUCACAGAGGUUUUAGUGGCAAUGGGUUUUCUCAUCUGGACAUUUAGCCGCCUCCCUUUAGUCCUCAGAGUUUCGAGCGAUUUCAUUUCUCAAAUCUCCAACUAUUUUACAAGCCCUGUUUUCGGCUUCAUACUCUGCAACAUCAUUAUCGUCUCUCUUAUUGCCAAACCCCACAAUUUCUCCUGCGGGAAAAUAAACAGUGACAAAAAUGUCGAAACUGUGCUCUUUAAUGAACUUGUUGAAGACGGGGCCGUUACGUCUCUGUCUUUGGCUGGGAGUGAGCCAAAUGGACGGCUCUGCUCUGAUACUGAGCAAGAGGAGAUCGCCUAUGAAGACAAAGAGGUGAUCUCAGAGGUGACCUCGACUCAGACGGCGGUAUUUAGCGAAAAAAUGGAGGAUUUCGGUUUGGAAUCUGAGAAACUGAAGCUGUUAUGGAGGGAAUACGGUGGAGGAGAGUUGCGACGGGUAAAAGCAGAGGAGGAAGCGAUUUGGGGAGGUGGGGUUUCGAGGGAAGGUGUAGGGAACGGGGAGGAGCUGAGUAAUAAGGAAUUUGAGCGAAGGAUUGAUGCGUUCAUUGCAAGAGAGUUGAGGUUUCGGUGGGAAGAAUCAGGUGCCGUCGUCCUCCGAAAUUAAAUUACGGUUUGAAUGUAACGAAUAGAUUGUAAAUAAAUAAAUUGAUGUUCUUACCCUUUGAACAAAAUUUCUCUUGGAUGGAUGGUCGCAUUUUUUAAAAUUAAUUCAACUUAUAACUUCUCUACAUUUCCUUAUCUAAUUUCUACAAAUGUUUCAGAAAGCAUUAAGAAAAACAUAGUGAUGCAUUUAAUACCAUUGGAUUAGGUUUGUUACCAUAGGAGGUGAAAUUUUGAUGGUUAUUGUUAUUAAUAAAAGUUAUAUAAACCACGUCUAAAAUGAUAAGGAAUGGACCAAAUAAGUUGUGACAGAGUUAAACUCCUCCAAUCAUGAAGUGCUUGUGUUUAGGUAGAAAUUAGCAUGUUUAAUGACUCAUUUUCAUACUUUUAGACACGUUUCAUGACUCCUCCUAUAUUAAAAGAUUUCUUUAUCUUUCCGCCACACAAAAAUAAAAUUAAAAAUUAAUCAAAUACAAACUAUGAUAUAAUAUUUAUAUAGGUAGAUAUAAGAUUCGAAAAUAUAACCAUUUAAUAACAUAUAAUUAAAGAGAAAUACAAUAUUGUAUUUGGAUAUUCCAAUAUUUUGCCUUGUAAUUAAACUCUCCAUAUCAUUAAUUACAAGGCAAAGGCGUAGGGUUGUUGUAGGCAUAACUUUAACUUUGAUAUCAUGAGAUUUUCUUAGUCAAUGAGAUGGUGAGAUUAAUGCAUUCCAUAAUCCUGUGUUUUGCCAUGCAACCAGCAACAAUGUUUCUGUGUCUGAUAAAUAAUUCAUCCAUAAUGGCUUCUCCAAAAUGACGAAUCAAAAGUGGUUCAGACACAGAUUGAAUACAUUUGGCAAAAUCAUAGUCAGUAGCAUCGGCCAGGGAAUUAUUAAUUAGUGGAGUACUUGAUUCUUCUUCAGUUUUAUGAACAGUAUGGUUUAAAUUAAUACUUGAAGCUUUCAAUUGAUUAAGGAUGAAGCUUCCUUCCUUCACAACUUCGGCUUCCACUUCCUUUGGCGAUGGAAUAUAGUAUGGAAUAUUGAAUGAAUCCGCCUUUUUCUCUUCCACAAUUCCCUUUUACAAACAUUUGUCUCAUAAUUAUUUUUCAAAAAUACUUGUGUGUAAAUGAUAUUAGAUAUAAAAUCAUGUUUAAUAAAAAUAUUAUGGGUAAUGAACAAUGAACUGUGCCUCAACCUUCAAUCUAAAAGUUUAGGGCUAAACAAAAGUAGGGAUAUUUUACCUCAGCCACCAUGGUAUUGAGAGCUAAACCCAAAAGCUCCCAAAUAUAGUAACCUCCAGAUUUUGAUGGAUCUUCACUUGUUCUUCCAACCAAUGUUAAAACCAUACCUCCACCCAUUACCAAUUCCUCGGCUCGACACUUCAAAAACAUUGAAAAAUCCUUUUGAAAUUGCUUAUAAUAAGCUUCACCCACACUCUUUGGACUUGUACUACCUAUGUAAAUGUUCCCUUUGUUAUUCUCUAUCCCCACAGGAACCUGCAGCAAUAUCCAACACAUAUAAUUUAACCAUAUAACAUAUACAACUAAAUAAAUACACAUCAACAAAAUACAAACAUGUUCGAAGUGAACCCGGUUUUAGGUAUUGAAGUAAGAGAAAAAAUAAAAAAAAAUUCUAUCGUCUCAUCAAGUUUCAAGACUUUAGAUUUUUGUUUGAAAUGACAUUUUUGAGAAAGAUACUGGUGAUGUAUGGAGUUAGUAGGUGCAUUGUAUUGUAUCAAAAGGCAGAUAAAGAAAAGAUUUGAGAACAAUGAUUGAAAUACUUUUUUUUCUUGUUUGUUUCGAAUUAUAAUCUGAUUUGAUACUUUUUGGUCUUUUUUUUUUCCUUGUUAGGCAGAGUUGUUUGCACAUUUUUUCUAAUUAUUUUCGAAACUUUUUCUAAACUAUAAUUAUUUGAGAAACUAUGAUAAAAAUAGGGUUGGGCAAAAAAACUAGUAGGGUAGUUUUGGAUAUACACAUUCUUUUUAAUUAUUUAUAUAUAUAUAUAUAUUACUUGUGAGUUCCAUAGUUUCCUUUUUUUUUAUUAUUUAUAUAUUAGUGACCCUACACAUUUUCUUUCCCAUUAUAUAUAUAAAUAUUUCAAUUAUAAAAAUAUAUUUACUUAUAAAAAUUAAUAUCUUUUCAAUAUUAAUUUAUUUUUGGCUUUAUUUGUUUUUUAUAUAUUAAAUAUCUUAAUAUUUAAUUUUUUAUUAAAUUUAUAUUUUCUGAUUUAUUAUUUCUUAAUCAAAAGUAUACAUAUCUAUCUUUUUUUUCUAAUUUUUAAUUUUUUUAAAAAACACAUAUAUUAACAAAAUAUGUUAUUAUAAAAUACAUGAAACAAAAUUCUACUACAUUUUUGUUUAACUUCUCUCAGUUAUUAUUAUUAUCAUUUAAUUUGUUUAACAUAUUUUUUAAUAACAUAUUUUGUUAAUGUAUGUGUUUUUCUAAAAAAUGAAAGCUAAAAAAAUAUGUAUAAUUUUGAUCCUAAAUAAUCCAAUUAAAUUAAGAAAUGUAAAUUUAAUUAGAAAAAUUGAAAAUUGAAAAUUGAAAUAUUUAAUAUAUAUACAAAUAAAUAAAUUAAAAUAGGAAAGAUAUUAAUUUUAAUAUAUAAAUAUAUUUUAUAAUUGAAAUAUUUAAUAUAAUAUAAUGAAAAAGAAAAGAGGUAGGGUCCACUAAUAUAUACUCAAAACUAUCUUAUUUUUGUAAAUAAUUUCUCAAAUUACUAUAUUUGAGAAAAAGUUUUUCUUUUCAAAAGAACGUGAAAUUCGCAGUACAAAACACAUAUAUUUUCAAAAAGGUGGAGAGAGAUGAGAGACAAAAGAUAGAAAGUAGUAAUAAUAAAUACAUUAAUGUCACGCAAACAACAACCUAGCAUAUAUAUACUUAAUAUAUUCAUGGCAUUGUAAACAGUCCCAAAAUAUUCAGCUAGUCUUACAUAUAAGAAAUGGAAGAUCAAAAGAUGUUAAUACCAUAGACAAAAACAAAAUUAUAUUUCCGCUGUUAUGACCAAAAAUAUUGGGUUUAAAAUCUCUAUAAUUUCAGUCAGUUAGGUUAGAUCAAACAUGUACUAAUCACAAAAACUAAAAGUGUAUAUAUUUUUUAAAAAAUAGUUUUAAUAUUAUUGCGAUAUAAGUUCCAUUUAUUUUUAUUAUUUUACUCUAAAUAAUAAAUAUUUUGAGUUCUAAAUUAUCGUUUAUAUUUUAUUUGAAGGGAUUAGAAUGGUGGUCAAUGUGGUUGAACAAGAAUAAAAAGUGAAAAUAAGAAAAGUAAGGAACCAAAAGAGUAGAGUUGAGAGCAAAUUUGUUUAAACUUACCCGAGAAAGCCAAUGGAGGCUACUAGAUGAAUGGAAAAAAUGGACACUUUUGGUGGGAAAGAGUCUGGCAUAGAAAGAACCGGGAACUCCGUUGAAGAAACAUGGACCAAAAUCACCUCCAAUUUGGGUCCCCAAAUCUUCCAAAAACCUUGGUAAUGAUGUAAAGACAGCAUUGAAGUCAUUUCCGUGAAGAUCAUUCAAGAAGAUUUGAUACUCCAAAGGCAGCCUUUGGUGAAGCUUUUGGCGAAUCUCUUCGACUUGUUUGAUCAAGUAAGAAACAAGCAUUAGAGUGUUUUGUCCUGAAGAACAACCCAAAUCUGCUAUAGUUAUGGAUGUUGGAAUGUGUUGAUUGUAGAAAUUGGUAAGAGCUUCCUUUGCAAUUGAGCAUGUCAUGGAUAUUAUCUCUCGCUGCGUUGUUAAAAAAACUCAAAAAAAUAAUAAACUUUGGUGUUAAUAUAAUUAAUUAGAAAAAUGAUAAAUCAAACAACUGUUUGAUCUUGAUGAAAAUUUUGGGCUAAUAUGGUGUUAUAAUAUAUAUAUAAAGAUAUAUACUCAGAAUCAUUAAAAACAUUAACCUGAAGUCUUGAGUUGUUGGCAUAACUGGUGUUUCCCAUACCUCCAUUUACAUGCAACAUUUUUCCACUCAAAUUUCUCUUGAAAUUCUUCUAUGCUUGCUAUUGCAAAGGAAGGGGCACACUCCCAUUUAUUAUAUAUAGAAGACACCAAAUAUUUAGAUUGCAACAAUCAAAAGGAAACCUUUUUCUAAAAUACAUUUGAGAAAUUAUUGACAACAAUGGGGUUGGAUCAAAAUUAUUGAUAAAAAUAGGGUAGCCCUUCUUUUUAAUUAUUUAUAUAGAUAUACUAUUUGUGGGUCCUAUAGUUUUUUUUCAUUAUUUAUUUAUAUUAGUGGAUCCUAUAUCUUUUUUUUAUUAUAUAUAUAUUAAUAUAUUUUAAUUAUAAAAAUAUAUUUACUUAUUAAAAUUAAUAUCUUACCAAUUUUAAUUAAUUUAUAUGUACAUAUAUUAAAUAUUUUUAAUUGGCAAUUUGCAAUUUUUCUUAUUAAAUUUACCUUUCUUAAUUUAAUUGGAAUUAUUUCUAGAUAUAUAAACUAUAUAUUAUUUUAUAUUCUAUUCUUUUCUUAUUAAAUUCACAUUUUUUAAUUUAAUUUUAUUAUUUCUAGAUCAAAAUUAUACAUUAUUAUUUUCAAUUUUCAAUUUUUUAAAAAAAAACAUAUAUAUUAACAAAAUAUGUUAUUAACAAAUAUAUUAAACGAAUUAAAAUGGUAAUAAUAAUAAUUAAGAGAAGUUGAAGCUUACUCAAAAUAAUAAUAAUAAUAAAACAAUUGAAGCCACCAAUGCACAUUGCUUACGUAGGUAAUUGAAUAAAAAAAUUAAUAUUUAUGACAAAAGAAAAAAAAAUCGUGAAAUAAUUUAAAGCUGAUGGAAAUUAUGGUUCAAUUUCAAAUUAAAUUUAGAAAAUCUAACCUAAUCAAAUUAGGAAGAGGAAUUUAUUGUAUCUGUUACAAAAAUUCAAUAGGAACAAAAUCAAAUUAGAUAUCGUGUGAUUUUGUGUAAAAUAAAUUAAUUUUAUUUUUUUUAUAAAAUAAUAUAAAUAAAUAAAAUGUAUAUUGUCUAAUAUAAAUUGAUUUGCAUUUCCCCUCAAAUGAUUGGUUUUAUUUUCAAUUUUUAUAAAACAAAUUCAUUUAAAAAAAUGAUUAUUAUACAAAAUUUUUACUUUUUUAAAAAAUUAAAACCUUAAUCAUUAUUACAAUUGUUAUUCUUUAAAGAAUAAAAAAAUUUGUAGGAUAAAAAUAGGUGGUUAAACAUACAUAAAAUACAAAUAUGAAAAGGUAAGAGUUAAAUGAGAUAAUAAAAAAUAUUGUUUAUUAAACAAAAAUACAAUAUAAUUUUGUUGAAUGUAUUUUUUAAUAACAUAUUUUUGUUAAUAUAUGUGUUUUUUAAAAAAGAAUUAAAAAUUUUAAAAAAUAGAUAUGUAUAAUUUUGAUUAAGAAAUAAUAAAUAAAUAAUGUGAAUUUAAUAACCAAUUUAAAUAUUGAGAUAUUUAAUAUAUAUAUAUAUAUAUAUAUAUAUAUAUAUAUAUAUAUAUAUAUAUAUAUAUAUAAAUAAAUAAAGUCAAAAAUAAAUUAAUAUUGGAAAGAUAUUGAUUUUAAUAAGUAAAUAUAUUUUUAUAGUUGAAAUAUUUAAUAUAUAUAUAAUAAAAAGAAAAAGCGUAGAGUUCACUAAUAUAUAAAUAAUUAAAAAGAACUAUGGAACCAAAAGUAAUAUAUAUAUAUAUAUAUAUAUAUAUAUAUAUAUAUAUAUAUAUAUUAUAAAUAAUUAAAAAGAAAGGUGAGGUCCAAAAUUACCUGUUUUUUUAUCGAUAGUUUUGUUAUAACUCCAUUUUUGUGAAUAGUAUCUCAAAUCACUAUAUUUUAGAAAAAAGUUCUUCAAAAUGAUAAAAUUAUAGUUUAAGUCAGUUUUUAAGUUUUUUAUCUUGAUAUUUACUUUGAGUAACACUCUCAAUUUUAGAUAUACGUGUGUGUUAAAUUCAAUUUAGAAGAAAAUUACAGUCGCACCAGAUGAGAGAAAAAAAACAUGAGUUUUUUCUUUGAAAUAUAAAUAUUUUAUUCAAUUUGCUCUUUUUUACCAUUUUUAUUUUGUAUGCAUCUUGAAAAACAGUAAAAAAAUAUGGAAACUUUUAUAAAAUAUAGUAAAAUUGGUUGAGUGCAACUUUUUUACUAUAUUUUGUAAAUAAUUUCAACAAGGAUCGAAAGAAUAAUUAGAAGAUAUAUGUAUGUGCUUCGGUUGAUUUAACCAGUAUAAUUAAUGGAGAAUUGUAUGCGUAAAAUUUUUUUAUGUUUAAUAAUUGAGUUUAAACUCAUAUAUCAUAUGCGUAUGAUGAUAAAUUUCAAACUGCCAUUGUUGUGAGUAAUACCGUUGAUGGGUUGGGUAGGAUGACAUAUAUCAGCUAUGAUGGUGGUUAUUACUUCCUUAAAAAAAAAAUCAUCAUUAAGAAUUCCAUAAAACCAUUGUAUCAACCCUCUAUUUUAGGUAAUUUCUCAACCAAAACAGAGUUAAAACUUCAAGAACACAUGGUACUAUUUUCAUGUAUUGAUUAUUUUAAAUGAGAGAGGAGCUACAAAUAAUUUCAAUUAUAGUAAAAAGAAAAAAAAAAACAUCCAGGCCAAAAAAUGAUUUGAAUAGAUUUAAAUAAUAAUUAUGUAAUUUUUUCUGUCUCAAUAUUGAGUCCCAUCAUUAAUUAAUAAUAAAAAUAAAUGUUAAGAUGAGUAAUUUCUUGGCAGAUGGUUUAGAUUUUUUUCAUGUAAAUGAAAAUCAUAUGUUCUACGUUUUCUAUGCAUUGUUUUCAAACCUUCAAUCAAAGAUGUACGAGGGACAUAAUUGUAGAACUGGUGAUGACUUCUUCUUUGUGUCCAUUACAAUUUUGUGGGUAUUAGUUUUCCAUAUUUUUAUUUAUUAAUUAUUCUUAAAAAUAAUAAACUUAAAUCAACACUUUCAAAUUUUCUUAAUUAAAAAAAUUAAAUUUCUCACUAAAUUUUCUACAAAAUUAAUUUCAUACGAACAAUUUGAAAUUUUAAAAAAAUUAUUCAAAGUUUUGAGUACAUCAAUUUAUUUAGAAGUAAACAAUCACCCAUCAAAUUAUUCAUAUAUGAAGUCUAGCUUUAGAUAGAUUUGCUAUUGAAAUUAAACAUAUAUAUUUAGUAUUUUGAAUAUUAAAUAAUCACAAAACUUGAAUUUUAAAAAUAUAUUAAUAUAAUAAUAACAACAAUUUCACAAUUUCGUAGGAUGUUAAAUACUAAGUCUAACUUGAUAUACUUAAAAAAGAGUUUAAAGUCUAAAUUGAUACGAUUACUAGUUUUGUUUUCUUAACCCUCGUCGACGUUUCAGAGAUGAAAUAAGUCACAUUAUAUGAUAUAACAUAAUUAUAUUUUAUGGAAAAACGUUCUUUUAAGUAAGAAAUGUUUAACUCAUGGUUAGUACAAUAUUUCAGCUAAUCCAAUCGUUUAUAUUUUUUGUUUUUGUAUAAGAGAAUUUAAGGGAUCCCUUUCGUUUUCGCAACUUUCACCCAUCCAAUUUAUAUUUCACAUUUAUUACCCAGUACUCUUUCAUCUCUAUGUUCCCUAAUUUCAGGGCAACAUUAUUUUGGUUGUUGAAUUCAUUUAUUUAUUUUAAUUUAAAAAACGAUUACUAUUUAUCAAUUUAAUUAUUAUAUAUAAAAUAUAUAAUAAUCUUAUAUAUUUUAGUGAGAUUUUGGAUAAGCUUGAUGGACUUAUCCAAAUACGAUUCAAAUAAACAAUGGCUUAUGGUUUAGCUCAAAAUAAAGAUAGAUCCUUGCAAGGUCUGGAUUCAAUCAUUAUAAAUGUUCCAAUGACUUGGACAUGGUUGACGACCAAGCUUCCUUCUUUUAAAACCUCUGUUUUUACUUCCUCCUAAACUUGGCAUGAAGUUUGGAAUAUUGAAUCUAUCAAUUUUGUCUUCUCUGAUCAUCCCCUGCUUAUGAAUUCACCCGAUAAAUUAUAUUGAAUUACAUUUAGACACUAAUUAACAAAAAAAAGAAAAGAAAAGUACACACAGAAUAAUAAUUUCACCUCCUUAACCAUGUCACUCAUAGCUAAAUUCAAAAGGGUCAAAGUGGGACAAAAACAGUGAGAAAUCAUUUUGAAAUUGCUUAUAAUACCCUUCAAUAACAUUCUUUGGACUUGUACUAUUUAUGAAUAUGUUCCCUGUGUUUAUCAUCUCCAUCCCUUCAGGUACCUAUAUACAUAUAUGUAUAUAAUACGAAAACUUAUUAGUAAAUAUAACACAAAUGAUUAUAUGAGUUCCUUUUAUAGAGAAUAAGAUUUUGAAUAAUUAGAAUCACCUGAGAGAGUUAGUGAAGAGCGUAAGAAGAAUGAACAAAAUGCAAACUUCUGUUAGGAAAAAGUCUGCCAUAAAAAGAACCAGGAACUCCAUUAAUUAAAGAAACAUGUUCCAAAAUCAAUUCAAAUUUGAUUAUUCAAAUCUUCCAUGAAAUUUGACAACGAUCUAAAAAUGGAAUUGAAAUCGUUUGAAGGAAGAUCGUUGAAGAAGAUUUGUUAUUGGAUUGGUUUGUCAUCGUGAAGUUGAAUGAUUUCAUGAAAUUGUUUGAUUAAAUUGGAGAGAAUAGUAAGAGUGUUUGGUUCGGAAGAACAUCCCAAAUCUGCAAUGCUAAAAUUGGUAAUUGGAAUAUUUUCAGUGCACAAAUAAUCUUCAACGGCUUCCUUUAUGAUUGGCCAUGCUAUCGACAUUUCUUUUCGCUAUAAUCAUAAUUUUGUCACAAAAAUCAUAACAAAAAAUAAAACUUCAAUGCUAAUGUAUUGAUAUAUAUAUGUAAAUUAAAAAAAUAAAAAAAGAAAGAGAAUUGAAGCAUUAUGCACUAGCAUCAAGUAAAAGAGAAAAAACACCCAGCACAGUCAUGCCAAACUCUAUAUAAACUACUUGUUGGUGAUAAUAAUGAUGAUGAAUAUGAAAUUGAAGAACACAAAACAUAUGUUUUUUUCUUUUCUGUUUCUUUUUUUUUUUUUUUUUGGAACAAAUAGUGAAAAAGGGAAUUGAAAUGAGUUUAUGAUUAAAAGUGGAAAAAGAUAAGAAGACCUGAAGCAAGGAGUUUUUAGCAUAGCUUUUGUCUCCGACUCCUGAAUUCAUAUGAAGUAUUUUACAAACCUCCAUAUCUCUUUGGAUUUCUGUAUGGAGGAAAACGAGGUUUAUUCCAGGCUAUCCCUUCACCAUAAAGCCUAUCCUCAUUUACUUUAGAUACUCUUUGAACUUAAGGUAGAAAAUGACAAAUUAUGUAAAAGGUUUUAAAAUGGCUUUAUUAUGGAGUGUAGAGUUGUAAUUUUACUUCAAUGACAUUUUUGUAAUUAAGUGCAUCUCAAGAGGGUGGGGGGUAGCCGACAGUCCAAAACAGAAGAGAGAGAGAGCAACCGGAAAAACACAUCCAAAGAGAAGAGAGAGGUAGCCGCGGGAGAGGAAGACGUUGGCGUUUAGCCGUGAGUUCCGAAGUUGGUUUCCGGUAGAGUUGGAGCGGUUUGACGUUGGAGGAGAACUCCGGUAGAGUGAGAAUAUCGAGCGCCGUUCUUCCGGCGGUUUUUCCGGUGAGUUUCAGCUGUGUGUGUUCGGCUGCGUUUUUCCGUCGUGUUUCACGGUAUACGUCUGGUUCGGCGUGUUAAUUUAGAGACGGUUGAUUAUUUAUUAAUAUCUGUAAUCUUGGACUUUGAUUGCUCCUAUUAAAUCUCAUGUUUUUAGUAACUAUUGUAUUACCAUGUUUUUAUUUCAAUUAUACUAUACUUUGAGCAAAAUAUUAUUAGUUAUGAUCAUUCUAUUCAAAUUCAUUUAUGGUAUGUUAUUGUGUGUGUGUGUUUUUUUUUAUCUUAUCUUGUAUUGUCAAAAUAUUUUUAGGUUUAUUAAUGAAGUUUUAAUGAAUUUGAUUACUUCGUUUAUACGAAGUAUUUUGAAAACUCCAAACCCAUGUUUACUAUUUACAGAUUAUUUUAUUGGAUUAGUCGACGCUGCUCUUUUGGCUUCAAAGAAAUCGAACUUCAAUUUUCAAGAAACCCACAACCAUAUGAGUCAUUUGUGGGACGUUUGUAUGUUGCUUAAAUUAGAAACCCUUGAGCUAUUCUCUACCUCUAUUGUUCAAUAUCAUCUAUUAAGGUGGUGGGAUGCAAUAUGAAAUUAUUAAUUAAAGAUGUAUCAAACUUAGAUAUCGUGUUAAGAUAUUUAUCCUCUUUCUUUUUGUUUCUUGAUUAAAAAUACCUUUAAACUUAAAAAAUACCUAUAUUAUGUAGAAUUUAUUUGAAGUUUUAUUGAAUUUGAAAAGAAUAAUUUUAAAACAAAUUAUAUGGAUACGGUUUUAUAUAUAUAGAAAUAUUGUAAAACGUACGUAUAUGGUUGAACAUUUUUUUAAGGUUAUAAAUGGUGCAAAUAUAAUUUCCAAACUUCAAAUGUUAUCUUUUUGCAACCAUAUUGUAAGCUUUUCAUUUAAGUUUAGGGUAAUUAAACUUUCCUUACACAUGCUUGUUUUGGCCUCCCAAAGUACUUUUGUGUGCAAAAUAAUGAUCUAUUGUAUAAGAUAAUGAUCCAUUAAAAAUAGAAAAGUUUGAAUUAUUUAUUUAGAUAAAACCUAAGAAUCAAAAGUUCUUACAAGCAUAUGUAUCAUACAUUUAUUUUAUUAAAAAGAAACUAAGAUUGUCUUACAUAAUUUCCAAUAACUUUACUAUAUCUUAGUAAGGGACAUAGUGAGGUUUACAUACUCGUAUUUUUUGUUGGACAUCUUAUACUUAACCAUUUUGCUAUACCUUUGAAAUAAUUCAUCAACAAUGGCUUCUCCAAAGUGGGAAAUAAAAAGUGGUUCAUACACAGAUCUAAUGCAUUUUGCAAAAUAAUAACUACUAUCAACAACGUCAUGAACAUUAUUAUUUGAUAAUAAUUCGUCAAAUUCGCCGUUAUUGUAGAAAUUCCAAUCAAUUCUUGACACUUGAACACGGUUUAUCAUGAAGCUUCCUUCUUUUAAAAUCUCUGUUUUUACUUCCUUUGGACUUGGCCUGUAUUUUGGAAUAUUGAAUCUAUCAGCUUUCUCCUCUUUAAUCAACCCCUGUAAAAUUAGACAAUUUUUACUCAUGAAAAGAAAACGAAAGAAGAAUAUAUAUUUUAAUAUAAUAAUAAUUAUAAUGUAUUUUAAUUCACCUCUCUAACCAUGCCAUUGAGAACCAAAUUCAUAAAUUUAAUAUCGUAACAAUAAUAAUCUGUGUUUGGUGGAUAUUCAUCCGUUCUCCCUAAUAUGGUAAAAACCAUUCGUCCACCAGUUACUAUUUCUUCUCCACGACACUUCAAAAACAGUGAAAAAUCCUUUUGAAAUUGCUUAUAAUACCCUUCAAUCACAUUCUUCGGACUUGUACUGUCUAUGAAUAUAUUCCCUUUGUUGAUUAUCUCCAUUCCUUGAGGUACCUAAACAUUGAAUUUCAUAGUUAAAGCACUUGUUUAUCAAUAAAUUUGUAGAAAUUAACUGACCAACAUGUACAAAUACAAAUGAAUUAUUUUUAUCAAAUAUAAUUGUCCAUAUAUAUAAUCCAAAUGUUCAACCACAUGGUUCAAACGUAUUCUUUAUUUAAUUUGUACAUUGUUGAAGUGAUUAGAAUAAUAAUGAAGAUUCUUUUAGAAAUAAUUAACAUUGUAUUAGAAUAAUAAUGAAGAUUCUUUUAGAAAUAAUUAACAUUGUAUUAGAAUAUAAUAUGAAAUUGAGGUUUUUGAUGUGGAGAGAGCACAAGAUUUUGAGAAUAACCUGAGAGAGCCAGUGGACACUAUAAGAAGAAUGAACAAAGUGCAAGCUUUUGUUUGGAAAGAGUCUACCAUAAAAAGAACCCGACACUCCGUUGAAGAAACAGUUGUUUCCGAAAUCAUCUCCAACUUGGUUCUUCAAUUCUUGCAAGCAAUUUGGCAAGGAUCUAAAAAUGGCAUUGAAAUCAUUUGAAGGGAGGUCGUUGAAGAAGAUUUGAUAUUGGGUUGGUUUGUUAGUGUGAAGUUCAACUUGUUUGAUUAAAUUGGAGAUGAUCAUAAGAGUGUUUGACCCGGAAGAACAUCCCAAAUCUGCCAUGCUUAAAGUGGUAAUUGGAAUGUUUUGAGUACUACAAAAGUCUUCAACUGUUUCCUUUAUGAUUGGCCACGCCAUGGAUAUUACCUUUUGCUAAACCACAUGAUGAUAAUAAAAUCACAAAUAAAAUUGAUCACCCACACCAACUUGACAUAAAACCCUUUGUUAAUUAGUACGAUAUAAAUAAGGAUGAUAACAUGAAAUGGAAGUACCCAAAUAUAUAUGUUUCAAAAAAAGGGAAAAAAGAAAAGACCUGAAGUAAGGAGUUUUUGGCAUAGCCUUUGUCUCCAUCUCCUGAAUUCAUAUGAAGUAUUUUGCAAACCUCCAUAUCCCGUUGCUUCUCUCUAAUUAGGAAUUUGUGUAUGGAGGGAGAGGGACCCUUUUAUCUCCAACUCUAUCUCUUACGAUCCUUCCCCCCAUGCACAUUUAAUUUAAUUUAUAUGCCUUUCCAGGUGAACAGUGUGUCAGUAAUGGAGUCCCUAGCUGGCUACCAAAAUCAAUCCUUUUGUAAAAACACUAAAAUGGGUGAUUUGAAUAAUUAAGAUUAUUUUAAAUAAAAAAAUAGAAAAAGUGAGUGAAAAUCAAACAUAUUAGGUAGAAAGGAUUGUUUUUGUUUUGGCAUUAUAGAAAUGGUCCUUCAAAAGAUGCAUUCCACUUCUUCUUUUUUUAUUUUUUUUAUCUUCUUACCCUCUCUCUCCUGCACUCAAUGCAAACGAAUAAAAAGAAAAUGACAAUAAUAUAUAUAAAUGUUAUGAAAACUCUAAUAUUAGUGUUUUCGUAAUCCCCUAAAAAUGUGUUCACACGUUACAGUUAUUCUCUUUGUUCUUCCUCUUUCCUCCUCAUCUUCCUUCCUUCCUUUUUUUUUUUUUUUUUAAUUUUAAAUUCCUUCUUCUUCCUCUAUCCCUUCUUUAUUUUUCUUUUUUAGUUUUGAAUUCAUUCUUCUUCUUCUUCCUUUCUUUAGUUUUAAAUUCGUUCUUCUUCCUUUUCUUCUUUUUAUUUUUUUCAGUUUUGAGUUCGUUCUUCUUCCUCUCUUCCUCUUCCUCUCUCUCUUCUUUCUUUUUUCCUUUUUUUUAUUAAAUUUUUUUAAAUUCAUUCUUCUUCCUCUUUAUCUUCCUCUUUGUUUUUAUUGUCAGUUUUUAAUUAUUCUUCUUUGUUCUUUUUUUUUCUUUUUCUUUUUUCAUUUUGAAAUUUAUUAAUUGAAAAUUCUGAAAAUCAAACAAAGUCAAAACCAUAAAAGGAAGAAUAAGAUAGAGAAUCAAAUAGAUUCUCUUUUGUGUGUUGAAAUGAAAUUGAGAGGAAAAGUAAUAAAGAUAAACUCAUCACAUAUAAAAACACGUUUACUUACAAAAAUAAAAAAUUGAAAAAGUCUUUAAUUCAUCGCUCUUUUUUCUUCUUUUUGUCUUUUUCAUUUUAAUUAAUUUAUAAUAAAGGAGUCUUUUUUUCAAAAAAAAAAAAAAAAUUAAAAUUGCAUAUUGUUUUAAUACUCUUCUUUUAAUUAAACUCCAGCAAUUGCAAUACAACUUCAAAAUGAUAAAUUAAAAGCAACUGCAAAUGGACAGAAAUAAAAACAUGUAACAGAAGUUGAAUUACUACUAAGGCAAGAGAGGUUAUGUAAAUCAUAUUCGGAAGGUAAACCGUAUCGAACAUAACUUAAAUUGGAGUAUUGCAAUCUUCUCGUGGAAUUAAGAUAACGUUUGACCAAUUAUCGAUUUUAUUACUUUAUACUUUUAUUUUGUGAACUUGUUGACUGGAUUUGUAUUGUCCUAAGGCUUAAUUACAAUUGUUAUGAAAUUUUAUAUAUUUAUAUUUCAUUAAACACAUAAACACACGUUAAAGAAAUUAAUUGGUUGUGAUGUUUUCUUAUAUUUUAAAAUUCGUCCACGUUUUGUAGGGAUGUAUCUCUAACAUAAUUUCAAAUAUGAUCACCUAAACAAAUGAAAAAAUUAUUUUAUGAAGAUUAUAGUUAAAUCUAUUAAAUGAACAACAUAAUUAAGAAGAUUGAAUAAAUAACUUUGAAAAAAAUGUGUAUUGUAAACAGAAAAAAUGGUGAAAAAAAUAUUUUUGAUAAAAUUCAGAUUAUAAUAAUAUACACCCCAAACACAUAUUAUAAUAAUUUGCAUCCAAAACACAUAUUAUAAUAAUCCACAAACUAUAGUAAGCAUAAAUUAUAAUAACCUACUUCAUGUCUCAACCGCCCAUAAGAACGUAAAAGGUUGCAACCUUUGUUGAGAGUGUAUAAUAUUAAAAAAUAAAAAUAAUAAAAAUCACUUGCUUUUCAAAAAAUUAUUUUCUUAAAAUAAAAAAAAAAAGUUACUUUUUGUUCUUCAAUCAUAUAUACACACAAUUAGUUUAUAUUCCUAUCCUUCCAUUUAUCCUCUCAACUCCUAUUACUUUUUUCAAUAACAAAGAAUUUUCAUAAAUUUAAAAUUUAUAUAUACUUUUAUAACAAAAUAUACUAUUAAAAAAUUUAAUCAAUAAAUACCAAGAUCAAAAUAUGAAAAAGAGAGGAUUAUGUGUAUUAAAAGCGAAAUAAAUUAAAUAAUAACGUUUACUUUCCUAUUUAAAUAUAUUAUUUUUCUAAAACAUUGGUUGAAGGUGAGUUAAUUGAAAAAGGUUGGGUUAAAUAUAUUAUUCCUUUAUUCCUUCAAGUUAGGUUUUCUUUUUAUGCAACAAUUCCAUUUCUCUAUUCGUUUGCAUUGAAUGCAAGAGAGACGAUAACAAAAUUAAAAAAAGAAUGGAAAGAGAUGCAUUCAUAUAAUUGAGAGGAAUGAGUGUUAAAAUGUAGAGAAAAGGUAGAUGCAGACUAGACUGCAGCUAUCUACUGUGGAACGUACCCAGAAUCCAACGAGACACUGCCAUGUGUCAGGAAAAUAUAACUGAUAUUUUUGUAAGUCUCUUGAAAUUUGAAAAGGUGCAUCAGCCUUCUUGGCCUUAUUAAAACGUGCCAUGUGAUCAUUGUUCUUUUUUUUCUCAAUAUAACAUUGUUCAUAUGUUAUUUUGUUAGUUAUAAUAAUAGUUAGUAGAUUGUAAUAGUCUGAACUUAAAAUGGAUGUGUAAACGUGUUAAAUGAAUUUUGUUGUUUUUGAAAAUGCGUCUACAAUUUAUUUUAAAAAAACUAAAGAAAAUUAGUUAUCUUUUUCAGUAAAUAAAUUGUUUUGGAAUAACUUCUAAAAUAUUUAUAAAUACAAUAAAAUGAUUUAUUGAUAAAAACACCAAUACAUUACUAUUUAUGUCUAUUGGUGCAUAAAUAAACAAUACAAUUUUGUUAUAUUAGUAAAUAUUUUGAUACGUCUAUGAAAUCCGUCUUUAUAAAUAUCAAUUACACCAAAAAUUAUUAUCGUUAAAUAAAAAGAACAAAAGAAAAUUAAUAAAAUAAAAUACUGAAAAAAAUUAAUAAUACAAAUAUGGCAACAACACGUGGGCGUAGACAUGAAUUAUUGAAAAAGAACCAUAGAAACACAAACACAUGUAUGUUCAAAAACAGUGAAAAAUCGUUUUGAAAUUGCUUAUAAUACCUUUCAAUCACAUUCCUUGGAGUUGUAUAUUUAUGAAUAUGUUCUUUUUGUUUAUCAUCUCCAUCCCUUCCCUAGGAUGAAUAUAGCUCAAAUGAUUAUGUGAGUUUGUUUCGUAGAGAAUAAGAUUUUGAAUUAGAAUCGAACAAACAGGUUUCAAAUUGGUUCUUAAUUCAAAUAAUCCAAGAAAUUUGACCAUCAUCUAGAAAUGGAACUGAAAUGUUUGGGAAGAAGAUUUGGUAUUGGAUUGGGUUGUUAUUGUGAAGUUGAAUUAUUUGAGGAAAUUUUUUUUAUUAAAUUGGAGAGAACAUAUAUGUAUAUAUUUAUGAUUUGAUUUUAAUAAUUGAGAUAGUGGUGAUAUAAUGCAGUCUUCUCUUCUAUCAAACAUGGAUUCUUUAUCACUUAUAGAUUUUAAUUAAUGAUGGACUCUACAUUACUAGAAUUCUAAGGAUAAUAUUACUCGAAUUUUUAUAUAUUUGUGAACCUUUUACUUUUUUGCAUCAUCUUAUCUUUAUAAAUAGAGAGAUUUAGAGCAGUACAUAUAGGCCUAAAUAAAGUCUAAUUUAGCUUUAAAAUAUUUUGGAUAUUUAAUUUAGAUAAAUUUGAAAAUUCAACUGUUUUUAAUAUGGAGUUUGGUCAGUUGAAUACCAAUUAUCUUGCUAUAAGAGUAUAGUUCAAUUGGCAUAGUACUUAUAUUAUCAAUCUUACAAAGUCAAAAGUUGGAUUUCUCCGUCCCAUAUAUUAAAAAAAAAAAACAAUUGAAUCUAAAAUUUGAAUUUCAAAUGUAUACACUACUACAAAUUUGACAUUUUUUGAUAUGCAAAACACGUCAAAAAAUGUCUACCUUGAUAGUCAUUGUCCACCAAAUAGGCAAACAUCAAGAAAGCUCUAGUUUCUUGAUGGUCAAAACAUGUCAUAAAAGACUCUUUCUUGAUGGUAUUGACAUAAAAAAAGAAUUCUUUUGAUGUUUUUUGCCCAUCAAAGAAACUGAAAAAUCAAUCCAAAAAAUCGCUUUCUUGAUAGCCAAAAUAUGAAAUAAAAAACCUAGAAAAAAAAGUACAGGUGCCAAUUGAGCUCACCUUAUGUUCUACAACUUCUACAAAUUUUAAAAACCUUAAAUUACAAACUUUCAAUUCAAUCCACUAACAUUUAACACAAUAAUUAAUUUAAUUUUGAUAAAGUCACUUAUGUCAAUCUAAUUAUAAUUACAACAGUUAACUUUUAAGAAUAUUGAUGUAUAAACAGUAAUAAUUGAAAAAAAAUAGUAAAGCUUUUAAGAAUAUUAUUGAUGAAUAUCGUGUAUUCUAAGUCCGUUAACGGACCAAAUUUCGUGUUUCGUAGAAAAUAGUUUUUUCUUGAUGGACAAUGUUCAUCAAUAUAUCAUUUUCUUUAUCGAUCUUGUCUAUGAUUUUAUCAUAAAUCCAUAAUUAUAAAUUUUUUUCUUGAUGACAAUGCCCGUCAAAAUAUUAUUUUUUUUAUAGCCCUUGCCCAUUAUUUAUUAUUAUUAUUAUUAUUAUUUUGUCUUUGUCCAUCAAUAAACCCUAAACCCAUAAAGAAAUCCAAAACAAAUAUAUAUAUAUAUAUAUAUAUAUAUAUUCGAUGAUGACCAUUGCAAAUCAACAAAAUUCAUUCCUUGAUAGGCCUCGUCGCUCGUUCAUCAAGAAAAUAUAUCUAACUUGAUGGACAUUGUCAAUCAACUAAUAUAUAUUUGGGAUAGUUGCAAAUUUAGCAAUUAAAUUUAAAUUAAUUAAGUAUAUAACACAAUUUAAUUUUUUUUUUGCAAAUAUAGCAAAAUUUGUCAAAUUCUAUCACUGAUAGACCAUGUUGCAAAUAUUGGUCUAUCAUCGAUAUACCAUAUGAAGUCUAUCAAUGAUAGUUUUGCUAUAUUUGCAUUUUUUUUAAAUGUUGCUAUAUCCUUAAUUAUUAUUGCUAAAAUAGUCAUCCAGUCCAAUUUUCCUAUAUAUUUUUUAUUUUAUUGUCCAUCUAGAAAUAAUUUUCUUGACUUUUAUAGACCACAUCAACAAAACUAAGAGAACUUUCCCCAUCAAAGAAAUAAAAAAUCUACAUUUUUUUGAUGUUUUCAGUAUUUCUUCAACAAAAUAAAAAGACUUUUCUUGACGUACAUGAUCAUCAAGAUAAACAUUAUAUCAAGAAAAAUAUGGUCUUUGUCGUCCAUCACAAAAUUAAAAUUUGCGUGCGUUAUGAAAGACCAAAUUUGUAGUAGUGAUGAAUUUAAAUAUGAUUUUAGUUUGAAAUUUCGAUAGACAAAUAUAAACUUGACUUUAAUUUGAAAUGAUCAGUUGAACUCCAAGUCGGUGUAGAUUUGACUUUCCAAAUAAUUAACAUCAAAGUUCACUUUAUUUGAAUUAAGAAAGUAAAUAAUUUUUGGGUUUAGGUUUUAACGUUGAUUUUGUCAUGAAUGUUAUUGAUUAUUGUUUUAAAUGGUUCACCACUCAAAAUAUUAAACGUAAGUUGAUCAUCAGCUGAGUUAUUCCUCCCCUUCACUAAAUAAUGACUCUAUUUAUUCUUGAUUUAAUCAUUGGGACUUUUCUUUUCUUUAUUAAAAAAAAAAAGCAAUUGGAUUGAUUAGUCCACCUCAUCCUUGAAAACAUCUCUACACAUCUCUCUAUUUUCAUUUCCAUUAACAUAGCAUAGAUCAAAGUUCUUACAAGCUCAUUGUCUUACAUAACAACAAUCACACAAUAAUAUCAUCUCUACCUAAUUUCCAAUCUUCAUUUUCUUUUUUAGUAAGGGAAAUACUUAAGUUUGUAUACUCACACUUUUUUUUUGACAUUUCAUCCUUAACUAUUUUUCUAAACCUGUGAAAUAAUUCUUCCACAAUCGCUUUUCCAAAGUGAGGAAUCAUAAGGGGUUCAAACACAGAUUUUAUGCUUUUUGCAAAACAAUAACUGCUAUGACACGGUUCAUGAUGAAGCUUCCUUCUUUUAAAACCUCUGUUUUUACUUCCUCUAGACUUGGCAUGAAGUUUGGGACAUUGAAUCUAUCAACUUUCUCUUCUCUGAUCAUCCCCUGUUUAUGAAUUCACCGCCAUAAACAAAGAAAAAUUAUAUUGAAUUGUAUUUAGACACUAAUUAACCAAAAAGGAAAAGAAAAUACACACAAUAAUAAUUUCACCUCCUUAACCAUGUUGUUGAUAGCUAAAUUCAAAAGGGUCAAAGUCUGACAAAAAUCUUUGUUUGGUGGAGAUUCAUCUGUUCUUGCUAAUAAAGUAACAACCAUUCGUCCACCCGUUACUAUUUCUUCUCCACGACAUUUCAAAAACAGUGAGAAAUCCUUUUGAAAUUGCUUAUAAUAUCCUUCAAUCACAUUCUUUGGACUUGUACUAUUUAUGAAUAUGUUUCCUUUGUUUAUCAUCUCCAUCCCUUUAGGUACCUGUAUACAUAUAUGUAUAUAAUACGAAAACUUAUCAGUAAAUAUAACAUAAAUGAUAGCUUGAGUUCCUUUUGUAGAGAAUAAGAUUUUGAAUUAGAAUCACCUGAGAGAGCCAAUGAAGAGCGUAAGAAGAAUGAACGAAAUGCAAACUUUUGUUGGGGAAGAGUCUGCCAUAAAAAGAACCAGCGACUCCGUUGAAAAAACAGGUUCCAAAAUCAGUUCCAAUUUGGUUCUUCAAAUCUUCCAAGAAAUUUGACAAUGAUCUAAAAAUGGAAUUGAAAUCAUUUGAAGGAAGAUCGUUGAAGAAGAUUUGGUAUUGGAUUGGUUUGUUACCGUGAAGUUGGAUGAUUUCAUGAAAUUGUUUAAUUAAAUUGGAGAGAAUAGUAAGAGUGUUUGGUCCGGAAGAACAUCCCAAAUCUGCAAUGCUUAAACUGGUAAUUGGAAUAUUUUCAGUGCGCAAAUAAUCUUCAAUGGCUUCCUUUAUGAUUGGCCACGCUAUCGACAUUGCUUUUCGCUAUAAUCAUCGUUUUGUCACAAAAAUCAUAAACAAAAAUAAAACUUCACUGCUAAUGUCUUGAUAUAUAUGUAAAUAAAAUAAAAUAAAAAUGAAAGAGAAUUGAAGCAUUAUGCACUAGCAUCAAGUAAAAGGAAAAGAAAACACCCAACAGAAUCAUGCCAAACUCUAUAUAACCAAGUAGUUUGAGAUUUAUAAUCAUGAUGAAGAUGAAAUUGAAGAACACAUAACAUAUGUUUUUUUUAAAAGAAAAAGGAGUGAAAAAGGGAAUUGAAAUGAGUUUAGGAUUAAAAGUACUGGAAAAAGAUAAGAAGACCUGAAGUAAGGAGUUUUUGGCAUAGCUUUUGUCUCCAACUCCUGAAUUCAUAUGAAGUAUUUUACAAACCUCCAUAUCUCUUUGGAUUUCUGUAUGGAGGGAGAUGAGGCCUAUAUAUCAGUCCAUCCCUUCGUCAUUUACUGAUAUAUACAUUUACUUUAGAUACUCUUUUCCAAGUGAACAAUGUGACUAGUGAAGUGACCAUUAUUAAUCAACACUUCAUUGUCCGACUCUCUAAGGAUAUCAAAAGUGAGAUGAGCAUUAUUACUUUUAUAAGUGUAAUUGUGUCGGUAACUUUUGUUACAAACUUUAAAAAGUUGGUUGGAGCUCUAAUUUUUUAGGUCUAAAUUGUGAUUAACCAUAUUGUCGUAUACCCUUACAUGUGUGAAACAACUGUUCAUGAGUUCACAUUCAUAUAGAGGUACACAUUCAUAAAUUGAAGAAGGAAGUCAGAAUCAAUCUCAGAUAACAAAUAAUCAUGAAUUACAGACCAUUACAAAGUGGGCAUUGAUGGACGAGUCGGUGUCCCCCAUCCUUACAAAGUUGCACUAAUUACAAACAAAUAUUAUUAAUAGUUUUUGGAAUGUGUGAUGUCAAUCAAUCAAAUACGAUGUGCCACUUUGAUUUCACUGUCUCAGUAGAUACUUGAAUGAGUACGUAUCAUUUUACUAAUCACCUAAAUAUUCAAAUUCAAGAGUUUUGCUUAUUGUUUCCAUGUAAAAAAUGAGUAACAUUUUAGGGGGUUUUGGCUCAUGUUUGGACAUUUGUUAAUAAAAUUACUUGUUCUAUUCUAAAACUAAACUCAUCCGUUUAGAAUAUAUUUCCUUUUUAUUUUAUUUUAUUGAGUCUCAAAUGUUAGUGAUCAUUGUUGAUCGUUGACAACAAAUGUUGGCGACUGAUCGUGAUUGAUUGACAGUCAUGACAAUCAACUGUCUUGAUCACUGUUGGCUUUAGAUUAUCUUAAUUGUCGACUUUUCGAUCAUUUUGAUCAUCGCCUCUAGAUUGUCUUGAUCGUCGAUUAUCUCGAUUGUCUUGAGUGUUGAUGACCAAUCAUCAUGAUCGUUGGUGACCUACAACUUUGGAUAUCACUAUCGUAGAGUGAACAUCUUGAUCGUUGGCGAACAAUAGUUAUUGUUAAUGAUCGGUCGUCGUGCCUAUUAACAAACUGUUGUACUGAUGGUUAAUGACCAAUAGAGUCAUGAUCGUUGGCGACCAAUAAUUUUCAUGAUGGUUGACGAUCAACCUAUCAUCUUAAUCAUUGACAAUUGUUGACCGUCUUUGAUGACCUUCUUCACCAAAGCUUCUCACACUCUUUUUCAUGUGUUGAAUAGUAAUUAUUAUUCAAGCCCAUGGAUUAUCUAUAUUUUUUUCUUAUUCAAUCCAAAAAAUAUUCAUUAGUCAACUUUAGACACCACCCCUCGUGAUCAUAUUUUCUUACCUACUUUUUUAAUAAUAGUAAUUAUUAAAUCAUCCUUUUUAUUUAUCCAUGUUCUCUUCUUUAUUUAAAAUUAAACAUAAAAUUGGUUGUCUUUUACUCAAAUAAUUUUAUAUUUUUAUAAUACAAUAAAUUGCUAAUUAAUUAUAAGUAGGGAAAUUGUUUAACCAACUUAUAUUUAUGAACAUAAUAAAAAAAUAUAAUCUCAGUCUAUCGACAAUAAAUAAUAAACUUAUAUUAUUUAUGUAUAUUGGUACAUAAAUAUAUAAUAAAAUUUUAUUAUAUUUAUAUAUAUUUUAGACGUGAACUGUAUUUUAUUAAACAAAAACAACAGCAGCAACACUGACAUAUAUAUAUAUUUUGAUCUUACUUCUUCUAAUUAAAGUUUACAUCAACUAUUUAACAAACCCAGGUAAAUUAUCAACUUUUUGUUCUUUUCCUUCCCCUUAUUUUAGAUUCUAGUAAGGGAAAUAGUGAGGUUUGUGAACUCACUCCUUUUGUUUGACAUCUCAUCCUUCACUAUUUUACUAUACCUAUAAAAUAAUUCUUCAACAAUGGCUUCUCCAAAGUGAGGACUCAUAAGUGAUUCAAUCACAGAUCUAAUGCAUUUUGCAACAUUGUAACUGCUAUCCACAAACACAUGCUUUGUUCCUUCCAAUUCAGUACUGUAGAAAUUCCAAUCAAUUUUUGAAACUUUAAGUUCAUUGAUGAUGAAACUUCCUUCUUUUAAAACCUCUUCUUUUAUUUCCUUUGGACUUGGCAUGAAAGUUGGGAUAUUGAAUCUAUCAACUUUCUCCUCUUCCACAAUCCCCUAUAAAUUGUAACACAACAAAGAUAAAAUUACGAUGGUGAAAAUACACACAUCUUUUUGUCCCCAAAUAUAAAAGGGCUUUGAAUUCUCACCUCAGCAACCAUGUUAUUGAGAGCUAAAUUUAGAAGUGUAAAAGCGUAACAAUAAUCUUGAUUUGAUGGAUAUUCAUCUGUUCUUCCUACUAAGGUAACAACCAUUCGUCCACCACGUACUACUUCUUCUCCACGACACUUCAAAAACAACGAGAAAUCCUUUUGAAAUUGCUUGAAAUACCCGUCUAUCACAUUCUUUGGACUUGUACUGUCUAUGAAUAUGUUCCCUUUGUUUAUCAUCUCCAUUUCUUUUGGAACCUAUAUAUAUAUAUAUAUAUCAAUUCAAUUUGAUAUGGCUAAAUAAUAAAUGGUAAUUUAUGAGAAAUUUCUUUUGUAGUCACGAAUAAAAUUUUAAGAAUCACCUGAGACAACCAUUGAAGGCUAUAACAAGAAUGAACAAAAUGUAAACUUUUGUCGGGAAAAAGUCUACCAUAAAAAGAACCAGGGACUCCAUUGAAGAAACAAGUUCCAAAAUCAGCUCCAAUUUGGAUUUUCAAAUCUUCAAGGAAAUUUUGUAAGGAUAUAAAAAUGGAAUUGAAAUCGUUGGAAGGUAGAUCGUUGAAGAAGAUUUGAUAUUGGAAUGGUUUGUUAUUGUGAAGCUCAAUGUGUUUAAUUAAAUUGGAGAUGAUUGUAAGAGUGUUUGGUCCUGAAGAACAUCCCAAAUCUGCAAUGCUUAAACUGGUAAUUGAAUUAUUGUUUUCACUGCACAAGUCUUCAAUGGCUUUCUUUAUAACUGGCCAUGCUAUGGAUGUUGCCUUUUGCUAUAAGAUUGUCCCCCCAAAAAAGAAAUUAAUAGUUAGCAUUACUUUGUAGUAAUUCACAUUCAUUUAAAAAAAAGAAAAAGAAAAAAAGAGAUAAAGACCACACAGUGAUGACUUGUUUUUUGAUUUAGUUUUUUAAAUUAAGUCUAUAAAAUGCUCAUUUUAUUUCAAUUUGUUUUGUUACAAUUUUUUUUAUAAAAGCAAGUAUAGAAAUUAGUUUUUAUUUUUUUAUUUUUUGAAACAACUAUAAUCUUUUAAUCAAAAUACACACUAUUGUAAAAAAAUUGAAGGUAUAGAUUUAAUUUUAAAAACUUAAAAAGCAUAAAAGUUAAAAUAAAAAGAUCUAGAGAUUAAAAUUUGUAAUUUAGAAAUUCCAAUAAAAUAUAUAUAUAGACGCACAAAAGUUUCAAAAUUGAAAGACUAAAUUUGUAAUUUAAAAGAAAAAAUUAAAGGACUAAAAAUAAUGAGACAAAAAAGGAGCAUGUCAAACUUUAGGUAAACAAUUUGUUUGAGAUAAAGAGGAUGUGAUAGAUAGAAAAUGAAGAACAGAAAUAUAUGUGUGUGUUUUCUUUUUCAUAAAAGAAGACCUGAAGUAAGGAGUUUUUGGCAUAGCUUUCGUCUCCAACUCCUGAAUUCAUAUGAAGUAUUUUACAAACCUCCAUCUCUAACAAUGGCUUCCUCUACUUUCUUUCUUUUUUUCUGUAUUAUUUAUUGAGUUUGGGAUCCACACCCCUUUUAUUAUAUAUAUAACUCUCCUUUCUCAUAUCUUCACCCUCAUACCAAUAACCCACGUUUUUUUUAAUUUACAUAAAAAAUCACCAAGUCAUUUUGAACACGUAUUUUAUUCGUUCAAAAUCAAUUGAUAAACGAAAUAAAUAGUAGCGUAAAUUGAUUUUGCAAUUAUUUCAAACGUGAGAUUUUCCAUAUCGAUAAAAAUAAUAGUAAUAAUGAUAUGACACCUUGAAUUUUAGUUAGAAAAAAUAUUGAAGAACUUUCAAUUUAGAUAAAUAAUAAAGAUGGGACCAAAGUUUAUGUGUGAAUUUUGUCUUGACCUUCAUUUGAUCGAGGGGUGUCAUAUUCAAGUAAUUAAAGUUAAACUUUGUUGGAUUGGAAUUCAAACUCAAAACAUCUUCAUUCAUAGUACACAAAACAAUAAAUCAUAGGUUGCUUUCUAUAAGACCAUUAAUAGCUAUUAAUAUUAAAUUUAGAAUGGUUCAAAAGUAUGAGGUGUAAUUAUCUAACAAGUACUAGAAGUUGAGAAUCCAAAUAUCUAAAGGGAAAAAAUUUGAGUCUUUUAACUUCUCUUUUUCUACUAAUUUAUCUUUUGAGUUUUGAGCAAUAUCCAAUUGAUAUGAUCCUGCCCAAUCAAUUUCUAACCUGAUAUUUCUUCCAUUUUUACACAUUCCCUUCUAAAUUCUAAUCAUCAUUUGGUCCUCCUUAAUUUUUUUUUAUUUUUAUUAUCACAUUUUAUGCCUUAUCUAAUAAUUUGAGAGGACACUAUCUUUCUAAAUCUUUUAUAUUAACUUUUUAAAAAAUUAAAAAAUUGAAAAAAUUAUCUACACCUCAUAACAAAACAACAUAAAACUCUAAAUUUUAGAAUAAAGUAAAUAUUUUGUCUAUUCUAUCAUUUUUUUUUACAAUUUUUUUUAGAAAGCUUUGUAUAUUAGAAAGUGUGGUGGUUCAAAAUAUCAAAUUUACACAAAUUGAAAAUAAAAAUUAAAUUAAGAGAUGGGUUGAACUAACACCAACUUUGACAAGAGCAAUGGAAGUAGACCAUUAAAAAAAAUUAAAAGUAUACCUCGAGAUAACUCAUUGAUUGCAUUGAUUGCUCACCAUCAUCUCUUCCUCUCCUAACUCCAACUACUCUGUUACAUAAACAUUAAAUAACGUUAUGACAAACAAUAGAUAAUGUUAAAAUAUUAUUUUAAGUCGGCUUAAUUUUAAUUUUAUUUAUUUUGAAAUGCUGGUUUUAGUUAUUAAUUUUAAUAAAUCUUACAUUUUUUAAUUAAUAAUUGAAAGAGAUUUGAAGAAGAUAACGUAUGUGAAUAAUGAAUUAAGUAGGAAGAUAUUUUCAACUAUUAUUGACCACAGGAAAAGAGAGUGAGUAGAGACCAUACGAAGUGCCUUAUCUUAAAAUAAAUUAAUGACACUUUGGAUCGUACAAAGUGCUUUCAUGCAGGGUAUAAGCCUUCUUCUUUUGUUAACACUUCCUCAUCUUUUCUUUUAUCUCCAACAAUUCUGCUACCAUUCCAUCUUCAAAAACGUUUUUGGUCUUGGAAUUAUAAUUUUUUCUCAAUCUAACCAUUUGGUUUUCUUUUCCCAAAUGUCAAAUUGAAAUUCCACCCACUUAUGAAGUAAGUAUUCUUACUUCUUACAUCCCAAUAUUUAGUUAGGAGAAAUUAAAUAUUGUUAAUAAGAUUAGAAAUAAUUGUAAUAUAAUUCAAAAUUUAUGUUUAGAAGGAACGAGUUCAAAUUGUAAUAUAAAAUUCAUUUUAUUUAACUAAAAUAAAUGAAUAUAUACAUCUAAGUACUAGACUAUUGAGUAUUUAAGUACGGUUUGUCACAUACAUAAUCGAUAAAGUAUAUGUAUUUAGAAGAAGAGUAGUUUUGGUUAUAUAUUAUAACUGCUAAUUGAUAUUCUUUAAAUUUAUGGUACAAAGUUGAAUAACCAUGUAAAAGAAUUUGUAAUGAUACAAUUUGUAUAUCAGUUUGGAAAACCUUUAAUUUAAAAAGCAAGUCAUUUUGAAAAAAGAUGAAGUGUUUGGAAACUAGUUAGACUAACUUUUAAGUAUGUUUUAAAUUAGAAAGCGAUUAUUUUAAAUGAUACAUUCUAUAUGAUGUCUCAUUUCAACCAUCCUUAAAAUUUAAGAAUAUAAGUUAAAUUGAUAUUUACCUAUAUGUUUAUUUAUUAAUUUUCACAUAAAUAUUUAUCAAUAUUAAUAUGUAUUUUAUCACCAUUUCUAUUGCUAUUUUCGUCAAAUUAAGAUCUCAAUAUUUUUGUCGUAGACAAAUAAAAAUUUCAUUUGGAGUCGACGGAGAUUCAUCGGUAUUUCUAAUAUUGUUACCUAUAUGUUCAGGUGAUAGCAUGAUUUCCGUGUGCUCGACAAAAGCGGUUGAUUACAAUCCAUACAAAGAAAUAACAUUAUAAUUAGACGAAUAGGUUGGUCCCUCUUCCUUGUAUAACUCCCACUUGGUUGGAUUGCAUGUAUUUUAAAUGGGCAAUAAUAUAGAACAUGCACGUUCAAAUUGUGCUCCAUUAAACUUGAAAUGAUCGCUCCCAUUUCUCCACCACAGAAUAACUCAUACUGUUUCCACAACAAAAUUAAAGUGGGAUAAUAUUUGAACUAAUUAUAACUUAGCUCUAUAUUCUACGUUAUAAUUAUAUAUAUAACUAAAUCUUCUUCCACUCAAUCUGUGAACUUCAUUAGUUGUGAAGCGACACUUGUUGAAAAGAAAAAUGGAAAGGAAAGUAAGGUAGGGAAGUCAAGUGGCAUUUGUCUUUGGCAUACAGAUGGAAAUGUUGAUUUGAUAUGUUGGGCUUUUUUAGCUUUACAAAAGUAAUAAAUAUAUAUCUUCAAUAAUUCGUUAUGGGUAAUAACUAAUAUGAUGUGAUGAAGGUUGUUGUUUGGAUUCUGUGGCACAUUCCUUGGGAAUAAAAACGUUUAUCCAUAUUGAAUUUGGUAGGAAUAUCUGUGUGCACACCCCAAUGAUACCAAGAAAAUUCUUAUUUUUGUUACAAUCUCCUGCUACGUAGAGGUACAGGGAAUACGUUUAUUCAACUUUGUUUGGAGUUGGAAGUGAUUUUUACACUAACUUCAAAUUCUUCUUUUCUAAUCAACUUUUUAUCAAUGAAUUAUUGGUUCAAACUAAAAAAAGUAGUUUUCUUUUUUUUUCUUUUUAUACAACUUCAAUCUCUUCUUUUCUAAUCAACUUUUUAUCAAUAAUUUCAAACUAAAAAAAGUAGUUUUUUUUUUCCUUUUUUUGUUUUGUUUUUAUACAACUUCAAUUUCUUUUCUAAAUCAACUUUUUAUCAAUAAUUUCAAACUAAAAAAAGUAGUUUUUUUUUUCUUUUUUUGUUUUGUUUUUAUACAACUUCAAUUUCUUCUUUUCUAGUCAACUUUUUAUCAAUGAAUUAUUGGUUCAAACUAAAAAAAAGUAUUAUUUUUUAUAAAAAAAAAUUGGUUAAGAGUUGAACCAGAAAUAAGAAUUUAGGAGAAAAUAGAUUUAAUUUUUAAAAUAAAAAAACCAAGAGUAUUCGAUUAUGAAAGAAAACAGUUCAUUAUUAUUUAAAAAAUAAUUUGAUACAUGUAUAAAUGAUAUGAAAUAUAUAUAGCAUGCUAUAUGCCUAUGGUUUGGGACAAUCGGUAAAAAUGGGUGGUUUUAAAAAAAUUUGGAAAAAAUGAAUGUUUUCAAAACUAUUUAGAUAAAAAAAAUAUAUUAUUGUUAUUAUAAUAUUUAUUAUUAUUUUUUAUUUUAUUAUUAUUUUUCUUAUUUUAUUAUUUUUAUUAUUAUUUAAUUAUGAAAAAAGUUAGUGGAAUGAAAUAGUUAUGUAUGGAGGUAACUUUAUUGUUUAAUUCCAUUUUUAAUACACUUAACUCUUUUUUUUUAUAUUUUGAUGAUUUUUUUUUAAAAUUUAUAACUUUGAUAUUGUAUAGAUUUAAUUUUGGAAUGUUCCAUUUUGUUACAAAAAUAUUUAGUAAUUUUUAACUCAAGAAAUUAACCAUUAUUUGUUUGAUAUUGUAUAGAUUUAAUUUUGGAAUGUUCCAUUUUGUUACAAAAAUAUUUAGUAAUUUUUAACUCAAGAAAUUAACCAUUAUUUGUUAUUAAAAAGAAAGGUAACAGGAGAUGAAAAGAUAAAUUGAGGUAAGAUAUAAAUCAAUAAUAAAAUCAAUUGUGUGCUGUAUAUAUAUGUGUGUGAUUGAAGAAUAAAAAGUAAAAUAUUUUUUUAAUUUUUCCAAAAAUAAUGUUUACAUGUUAUUUUAAAUUUUUAAUAUGGUAAUAAUAAUUAUUAUAAUAUAACAAAUAAUUUUUACAUAGAUGUUAUUUUAAAUUAUUAAUAUUGUAAUAAUAAUAAAAAAAACAAUGAUAAUAAUAGUAACAAUAUAAAUUGAAUGGCCAUUGGAAUAUAAAUUGAAUGGGCCACUAAGCCCAUUAUUAUUCUUGUUUUCUGCCGCAGAAGAAAGAGAAAAAUAAAAAUAAAGAAGAAUGCGUUUCUCUAAGAGACACCUUCUAAUAACGUUAAUAAACUACUAUUUUAUUAAAAUAGUUUUGAAAAUACCUUUUUCAAAUCACCCCUUGGUUGAACUUUUUUGUUUCGACCUAAUUUUUAAUAGAGGACUUUAAAAUUUUAAAUAAAAAUACCCGAUCAGUACUUUUCUUUUGAAAUUUUGCAGUGGUUGACAUUAAUUUAUUCACCAAAAAGACAAGAGAGGCAGUGUUAAAUCUCAUAUAUUUCAUGUUAUCUUUUCAAUAUAUUAAUGGUCAAAUAUUUUUUUCAAAUUUUAGUGGAAUAUUAGAAGUAUUAUUUACUUGAAUUUUCAACUUUUUCAAUAACAAAACAUUCCAUUCUACUUUUUAUAUUAAAUUUUGUAUUUUAUUUACUUGAUAGUGUAAGAUUUUAUCUCAAAACCAAUUGAUUAGGAGAGGAAUGUGAUUCAUCGAUCUUGUGAGGAGUGUGAGUUUCAUUGAACUAUGUUUAUAUCGACUUAAAAGAUGUAAAUUUGUUGUUUUGUAUUAUUAGACUAUUUUAUUGGUUUUGCUCUCUUGUAAAUAUGGUGGCAUGCAUGGAUACAUAUAAUAUGUGUGUAGUAAGGUGGAAAAGGAGAAUUGUUAGAUAAUUUAUACAUUUGGGUGAGUGUAAGGUUUGGUCACUUGUGUUAAUGUACAUUAAUUAGUAUUUUAAAAUUAGAUAACAAUGGAUUUGAUUUAAUAACCUUGGAUGGGAUAUUGUUGAGUUUAGUGUUAGAAAAAUUCCAAUCAACCAAGUUGAACUAUGCCUUUCUCCAAUCGAACUAUACACAUGCUCUAGCUGAACUUGUUUUGGAGGGCCCAAUUGGAUUGAAUAAUAAUGUUUUGAGGUUGGCCCAAUCAACCUAAACUCCCUAAACUCAAAACAAUUUGUUUUAGGGACUUAUAUGAUAUUAUAUGAAAUAACCUAAAUUACUAAUAAAUUUCAUAAAAGUUCUAAAUCCACUAUUACAUAAACCUACGACUCAUAUUACUUUAAUACCUAUUAUUUAAUUUAUUUAUAACAAAUAUCUAAAUGGAAAAAAAUAUGGGAUACGGUUUUGGAAAGAAGUGGAAAACCUUUCAUGCUUUCCUUCUACGAAAAUGAUUGUCUACUCCUUCCAACCUGGAUUACGGUUUUUAUUUCGAAAUUUUAAAGUUCGGAGGUGAAGAAGAAGACAUUUGAUGGAUAACAAAUACAAAACUUCUCGAACAUAAUUUAGUUAAAAAUUUUGAGGUUAGUAUUGUAUAUAUUCAACACAUAUGAAACAUUAGGUAUAUUUUAGAUAUUUAAUCAAAUAAAAAUGUGGUUUUGAAUGUGAUACAUUUUAGGGUUUAUUGAGAUUCGACGGUGAAGAAGAAAACUUUUGACGGUCGACAAAUACAAAACUUAUCCGACAGAAUCUAGCUAGAAAUUUUGUGUUUAAUAUUGUAUAUAUUCAAAACAUAUGAAUCAUUUGGUAUAUUAGGUAUAUUUUAGAUAUUCGAUUAAAUAGACAAACAAACGAGAAUCUAGUUUUGAAUGUGAUACACUCUACAGUUUAUUGAGAAUUCAAGAAGAACUACAUUUUGACCAUCCUAUAAAAAAAUAAUAGACUAUUGUAUAUAAUAUAAGGUAUAUAUAUAUACUAAAAUACAGAACAUAACUAUUAUAGAUUACUGAUAUAUUAAAGUAUAAUGUAAUCAAAUACAUUUAUAAAGAAAAAAUAUGUAUAUAUGAUCAUGUCGUUUACUACUGUUUUAGUAAUAUUUAUUAUACAAACAAAAAAUUUAAACAUAAAUUCUAUAGGAAUUAUGUAUAAAGUAUUAUUAUAUAUAAUAUGAGGUAUAUAUACUAAACAACUUUUUAAUGUAAAUAGCUAUAUACUUGUAAAAUAUAAUAAUAUGUAUGUAUUCACGCCAUAUAUUAUAGAUACAUUGUCAAUAUGUAGUUUACUCUUUUAGUAAUGUUUUAUUGUAAAUAAUAUGGAGUAUAUAUAUAUAAAAAAAUUAUUAUAUUUUAAGAGUAUAUUAGAUUAUAUAUUGUUAAUAUAAAAAAUAUAUAUAAAGUGAUAAUAAGUAUGUAAGAAUUUUAUAGUUUACUGGUGUUUUAAUGAUAUUUACUAAAUAAAUAUAUAUUUUAAAGUCAAUUUGGAAAGGAAUGAUGUAGUUUACUUAUAAGAAAAAUAUUUGAUAUAAUUAUAUAAUUAUAAUUAAAAAAAAUGAAAUAAAAGACAAAUAUGUGGGUUCCAUUGGGGUCGUAUAUGAUAAUUAAGAUGAAUGUUUAAUGAAUAGAGGCAUAUGAUUUUAGUUGGUUGAAGAGGUUUGUUAGUUUGGUUGUGUUGAAUAGAAGUUUAGUUUUGAACUAUUUUCAAGAAAUGAGGACCUUAAAGAUUAAAAAUUGUGGCCAUUGUUGACUCUAAUUUAUUGACUUGAAAAGAGAAAAGGAAGUGAGAAAUGAAAAGAGAAAAGGAAGUGAGAAAUGUGAUAUAAAUUGGAUGGGGUGAGUUAGUGUGACUAAAAAGCAAAAGCACUUUAAAAAUAGUAAGAGUAAAUUAAAUGGGUGUGGAUGUGAUACAUUUUAAUUCAUUAAAUAUUUAAAUACUUUAAAAAGUAUUUGAAAUUAAACAAUUGAAAUGAAAACAUAAAUAAAAUGAGAUGUAAUUUAUUAAUUUGUAAGAUAAAACAGGUCAAUAAAUUUGACAGAAACUUAUGGUACAACAGGGUACAUCAUUGUUUUGUUUUAUGUUGAACAGAAGCUGAAUCAAUCAUUCAAUUUAAAUAUGUUCAACAAAAGAGAACCACAUGCAUAUUUUCAAACUGUUGGUGUGGAUCUCCCUUCCUAAAAUCAAACAAAAUAUGUAAUAAUAAAUUUUAAAGAAGAAAAGCAAACAAAUUGUGGAUCUACUGUAACACGGUUUCACCAUAUUGGAGAAAGAAAAAUAAAAUUUUACUUCCAUAUCCAUACGGAUGCAUAUCUGAUUCCAUUUCUAUUCAGAGAUAUUUCAACAUCCAUCAUCUUCUUCUAUUAAUUUUUCAUUUAUUGUAAAUUUGUUUUAUUAUAAUUUCUUACCAUAAUUCUUAUCAAAUCAAAUGAGAAAAGCAAGCAAUACACAACUAUUUCAAACAUUUUUCAAUUUCAACUAUUUUACGUUUUUAGGUACAUGUGAAUUCAAACCAUCCCAUGUUCACACUUCACCUACUUUAUAUAUUUAAUUUUCCACUGUUUAAACCUGUUUCCAAAAAAAUAUAUUUUAAGGAUCUAUUCGAAGAUGUUGUUCGAGAGUUGAGUUGAAUUAAUUAAGUUGAAAAUUAUUUAUAAAAUAGAGUAAUUAGGAUAGUUGAUUGCCGUGAAUAAUGAAAUGAGAAAUAUAAGUUAACACAAAUAACGAUCUCAUAAAACAUGAAUAACCAAAUAACAAACUUCUUCAAUUGUCUUAAUAACGCACAUUAUCUAUUAUCUAUAAAGCUCAUCAAGAUUAAAUACUUCGUUAAAAUUAUAAGAUAACAAGUGAUGAUGAAUGAGUAAAAUUGGAGACAUAUGCUCGAACAUAUUUUCAAUAUAAAUUAGAUUUUAAAGAUUAAAUUUAGUAUGUAGGUAAAUAUGUUCCUUUGAUAAUAUUAAUCGAUAUAAAAGAAAUUAUAUAAAGAAAAAGUGUGCUUUAUUAAGUGAGUAAAUGUUUUGUUCCAAACUCUUGGCAGAUAUUUUAUGUUUAUAAUAAUAGGUCUAUUGCUUUGUUAAGAAUUUGAAAUUAAAUAAAGUCGUUACAUCAAAUAACAAAAAUAUAUAUAUUUUUAAAAAAAAGUUCAUGAUAUCAAUUUUUUUAUAUUGCGAAUAUUAUAAAAUUAGUGAUAUCAGACGGCUAUGAGGGACAUUAUAAUUGUGGGUUACUUUUUUUUGUGCAAAGGUAUUGUAAUAAAUGUUGGGGUGAAGAUUCAAGAACAUACAUGUGUCAGUUGAGCUAUGCUUGAUGUGUUCUCUAUAUUUUUAUAUGUUUUUCUACCGUUAUUUCCAUUGUUCUUAACUCGCGACACAACAUAGUACAAAUAAUGAAAAAUUGCAAUUGAUAACCAUUUCAGCAAUAAUAAUUAAGGAUAUAGCAAAAUUUUUAAAAAAAUUGCAAAUAUAGCAAAACUAUCACUGAUAGACUUGUAUUGUUGUCUAUCAGUGAUAGACCAAUAUUUGCAACAUGGUCUAUCGGUGAUAGACUUAUAUCAUUGAUAGAAUUUGACAAAUUUUGCUAUAUUUAUUAAAUUUAACCCUAAAUCCUAAACUUUAACAAUAUUUCUUAAAUUUAAAAAAGAAAACGUACGUUAAAGAUCUUUUCCAUUUUUAGUUAUGUUCAGUAAAAUCGUUACGUUUGUUAAAAUUUAAUGAAAGAGGAGUGUGUGUUAUGCUAAAACAUAAAACUGAUGAAAUUUAGAUAAGUAGAGAACUCAUAUAUAACUUUACGAAUAUAUAAAAGUCAGUAGAUUUAUUAAACACAAAAAAGAAAAGAUUUAAGAAGGCAUUUGAUAAUUUUAAAUAGGUGUUAAUAGUUGAAGAUUGAAAGGUAUUCAAAGUUAGUCGACUCAUUGAAUAUAAUUAGUUAUAUGGAAAGGAUUAGUUCAUUUAAAGCCCCACCUUAUCUUUAAGGUAGUUUAGACCAUUGGUUCAUUUUAUACACACACCUCUACAAAUCAUAUAUAUUAAUUACUCCACAAAAACAUGUUCGUUUCUCUUUUCACAUAAAAUAAAUUAAAUAAAAAGCGUGCUUGUUUUUAGUGAAUCAUUUAAAAUUAAAUUAUCGUCUUUAGUAUGGGUUGAAGCACCACAAGAACUCUAUAAAUACAAGAACCUCCUCCUCAACAUAACACACAUCAACAAUUAAAUCUCUCUCUCCCCCCCCCAAAAAAAAAAAAAAAGAAAAUCAAAUUUCAUAACAAUAAAGAAAGAAAGAAAGGCAAAUUAUAAUGGAAGUAGUUCAAGUUCUUCACAUGAAUGGGUCAGGAGCUGGAGAUUUUAGUUAUGCCAACAAUUCCCUUCUUCAGGUAAUGAAUAUUUAUUUAAAUCAUUCUUCCUUCUAAUCUCUUUACAUUAUAUCAUUUCUCGUAUGGUUAAAUCAUGCACUGUCAUAACCCAAUAGUUUAAUUUCGUGAUUUGUCGUCUAACAGUCAAAGGUGAUAUUGAUGACGAAGCCGAUUGUGGAGGAAGCGAUAAACAACUUAUAUUGCUCCAGUUUCCCAACAAAUUUCACCAUAGCCGAUUUGGGAUGUUCUUCAGGACCAAACACUUUAAUGGCAGUUUCUGAACUGAUUAAAGUAGUGGAAGAAAAUCGACAAAAACACAACAAACAACCAAUUGAAUAUCAAGUAUUGUUAAAUGACUUACCUGGAAAUGACUUCAAUACAAUCUUCAAAUCAUUGCCUAAUUUCCUUGAAAAAUUGAAAAUGGAAAUUGGAGAUCAUGAUAUUGGGCCUUGUCUCUUUAAUGGGGUGCCUGGUUCUUUCUAUGGAAGACUAUUUUCUUCAAAAAGUGUGAAUUUUAUUCAUUCUUCAUAUAGUCUUCACUGGUUGUCUAAAGUUCCAGAAGGGUUAGAGGGAAAUAAGAGAAAUAUUUAUAUGGUAGAUACAAGCCCAAAGAGUGUGGUGGAGGCUUAUUAUAAACAAUUUCAAAACGAUUUUGAAUUGUUUUUGAAAUGUAGGAGAGAAGAAUUGGUGAAGGGAGGAAGUAUGGUUUUAACACUUUUGGGAAGAAGAAGCCAGGAUCCAACUAGUAAAGAGUGUUGUUACAUUUGGGAGCUUUUGGCUAUGGCUCUUAAUGAUAUGGUUUCAGAGGUACUUCUUUUUCUCCCUAAAAUUAUAUAAGCAGUGUUUCGGCGCCAUAGUUCAUAUGAUUUAAAAUGUAUUUAAUAUAGUUUUUAUUGAUAGAUUUGUUAAAACUAAAAAGUGGAUUAAUUAUUUACAAACCUUUACUUAGAAACACUACUAAUUGAGAGAUAAAUAAGAUAAUUGGGAUUUGUUUUAUUGGACAGGGAAUUAUAGAAGAGGAGAAGUUAGAAAGUUUCAACAUACCCAAGUACAUGCCAUCACCAACAGAAAUGAGGAUUGAGAUUGAAAAAGAAGGCUCUUUUGUGGUUAAUCGCAUUCAAGUUUCAAAAAUGGAUUGGAAUAUUGUUUACAAAGAUAAUGGUAACAAAGAUGAUAAUGGUGGGUACAAUGUAGCCAAGUACAUGAGAGCUGUGGCUGAGCCAAUUCUUAUAAGUCAUUUUGGAGAAGCAAUCAUCGAUGAAUUGUUCAUCAGAUAUGGGCAGAUUAUUGUGGAUCGAAUGGCUAAGGAGAAACUUGAGUUUGUCAAUCUCACUAUUUCUCUCACUAACAUAAAGUAGUGAUUGAAAAUAUAAUAUAUAGUUGCUCAAAUGUUUUAUCACUAAAUUUAUGUGGUAAUUAUUGUGUGUCUUAGUAUAAUAUAGUAUAUUUACUAUAUGUUAAGCUUAGUUUAGUUGAUAAAAAUGUCUACUGUUUGUCUCUUGUAUGUGUGCUGUACCACAUAUAUUAAUAAUGAAUGUAACACAAUAUAUUAGGUUAAACUCAGAUUUUGCCUCAGUUUUUUAAUUAAUGUCGUAAUAUUUUAUUUGUGUUAGCAAACCCUAAACCCAUGGAAUGAAUUUUCAACCAAUCUAAAAAAACGUUCAUAUUCGGAGAAGAAAAUAUAAAAUGUAAAAGUCUCACCCACAACUCUCAGCUGGAAUGUAAUUCAUAUCUAAAUUAAAAUUAAAGUUCAACACCAACAUAUUUUUCAUUACAUAAUUAUAUAUAUAUAUAUAUAUAUAUAUAUUGGUUAAAUAAAACUUUAAAGUAAUAUUUCUUUCGAAAUUAAAUUUGGAUUGAUGGGUGAUUUAAAAAAAUAUUUUAUCCAAAUCUCUCCCUAUUAGAUGAUAUUAAUGUUAAAUUUGUCUUCACUUAUCAACUUAAACUUUGGAAUCAAUUGAUAAAUUUAAAAAUGUUUAACAAAUUAGAAAUCAAUUAAUAUUAAAAAAAAUUAAUAAUUAACAUUACACAAAUAUUCUUAACACAAGAAAUGUUUGAAUCUAUGUCAUAAAACUCGUAGUUUGUAAUUUAAAAUCAUAUUUUAUUUAAUAAGAUCAUGAGACUAUUUUGUGUAUAUUUAAACUUUAUAUAGAGACAUAAACAUGGAUUAAGUUUGAGUUUAUAGCCUAAACGGUCUAUAGUAUAUGAAUAAGAUUAGGGCGUACCUUAUUAUAGGGACAGUAUGAAUGCGACUUGAUUUGUAGUUAGUACAAAUGAUGUAGUACUAAAUUGUAGAAACAUGGAAAUGAGGGGCAUCAUAUGUAAAUAGUUUAUAUAAGACUGAAACCAUAUAAUAUUGUUUAUUGUAUAAAACCGAUUAUUUCAUUUAUUGAUGACCUAGGUAAUUUAACUUUAGUCCUGUGCUAAUUAUGAACUUUUGUUCACACAUAAUUUUUCUUAGUUCUGUAUAGACGAUAGUAGCUCAUCAACGUUGAUGCAAUAAACCUCUCAUUUCAGAAGUAUGAAACUGAGUGAAUAGCUAGAGGACAUAAGGUACAAGACAAAAUCCACUCAUGAUCGCAGAUAGGUUAUUCCCUCAACAAAUUGAGGUCUUGAGAUCACCCCAUCCACCUCUUAGUGUGACUUCUUAGAAAGAAGAAAAGAACCCCAUGGUUGCCAUCUUUUGACACAUAAACGUGAAAUAUCUUAUAAUAUAGAAAUUCAAGAAAAAGAUACAUAAACGUGAAAUAUCUUAUAAUAUAGAAAUUCAAGAAAAAGAUACAUAAACCUGAAAUAUCUUAUAAUAUAGAAAUUCAAGAAAAAUAAAAGCCACAACUACCACAAUGCAAAAAAGAAUAUGUAAAUAGGCAUAUAACUCAAUAUCCCAUGUGGAAGAGGGGCUCAUGAUGUGAGUUGGGGACCUAAAGUCUUAAAAACAUAUGAGGGUAUCAUGUGAUACUGUCACUCACAACAGAAGAAUAGUAUUGAGAAAGUUUUGAUAAAACAUAAUAGGGUAUGUGAUGUGAACACAUCAAAACAGUCAAAGAUGACGGAAUGAAUGGUUAUAGUUCAUUCAUAUUAUGAUUUUUUCUUCUUCCAUCGAGUGCAAUUAUUUAGAGCAUACAGUGAAAAGAUGUAACAUACUUUUCUGUUUUGAAAAAUGAGAGAUGUGUUUUAUGUUGGCCAUGUGAAAUUAUUCAAAUAUUAAUUAUAGCAAAAAACAUAGGAUUGUUUUUAGUUAAUUAAGAGAAAGAACAAAACAGUAUUUCACAAAGUGACCAUGCCUUUAUUAUUUUGUUAUGAAAAUGUGAGGAUACUUUCUCAUGUUCAACACUUUCUAAAGAUAAUUGUUUAAUCAAAUUGGUGAGUAGCUAUCCAAAUAAAUAAUAACAAGAGUCAGAUUAAAAGGAGUCCAUCGUGAAUUUAGUAUAAUUAGGUCUUAUUUUCUAUAACACAAUUCAUUUCAUUUAGGAUAAGUUUUUCCACAUCUGAUCUGUAUCAUCAAAUCAAAUUAAAGCGAGUAAGUUUGUAUAAUUUGAAGUUGAAGUAAUUAAUCAAAUAUUAAAUAUGAGUUUAAGAAUGAGUAAUUAUAAAAGGAAUUUAAUAAGUAUGUGAUGUAGGUUGAUAGUGCAUGUGUGUGGAGUGUGAACACAUAACAUAAAGAUGGGCGGUCGUCGUGGAUGGAUAAACCUUCCAUACUUCUUAUCAGUUUUAGACGAAGAGAAGUUGUUUUCAUUUCGCAUCUUAAAUUAUUUUAUUCUAUUUUUCAAUUUUAAAACUCUCUUCUCCAGUUAAAAUUUGUUAUUAUUUCUAAACUACCAUUUCAAUAAUUUAUUUCUUCCUCCUUUUAUAUACUCAUUAUUUAUUUAUUAUUCCACUUUUUAAGACCUUAGUUAUUUAUUUAUUCAUACUAAAAAAAUUAUUUAUUCUUUCUGUCGUAAUCUUAAUUUUAGAAUAUAUUAAUAGUACAAUAAUAACAAUGUGAAGUAUAAUUGUUGUUGAUCGGAGUAAUUUAACUUUAUUUGUAUUUUUUUUAUGUGUAUUUUGAGUUGAAUCUGAUUAUAAAUUAUUUUGUUUUAUUUUUUACAUUAAUUUUGUUUUGGUUUUACUUUGUCUCAGUUUUGUAUAUUAAUGUUGUGAUAUACUUAUAUUAUAUAUAUUAGUUGGUUAAUAUACUUACUAUGUGAUUUUUCAUUUUUUCAAAUUUUAUUAAGUAUAUGAAAAAUACUAAAUGUAUCUGCAGUGCAUCAGGUGUAUCAAACAUAUAUUAGUAAUGUUUUAGGUGUGUAUCAAUCAAAUGUAUCGAGUGUAUCAAGAAGUAUCAUGUGUAUUAAGAGGUAUUAGGUGUUACGUGACGGUUGUCAUGUUGAAUAAUAAUUUUGUUUUCUUGAAACAGUGGAGCGAGACCCCUAUAAGUUCAGAGUGGAUCCCCCCAGCGCCCUUGACAGAGCAGACUUUGCCGAUCUUUCUCUCGCGCGAGUCAGCCUUCUAUUCUUUCUGCUUUUCUACUUUCAGAGGUCGAGCCCACGGAGCGAGCGGUCAGAAUAUCUCAACUGGAAAGCAAGGGGUAAAGAAGUUCAGAUCGGGAAGAGUCCCCGCCGAUUGUGGAGGAAGCGAUAAACAAUUUGUAUUGUUCGAGUUUUCCUACUAGUUUGGCAAUAGCUGAUUUGGGAUGUUCUUCGGGACCAAACGCUUUGAUGGCAGCUUCUGAACUGAUUAAAGCAGUGGAAAUAAUUCGUCAAAAACUGAAGAAGAAACCAAUUGAAUAUCAAGUAUUGUUAAAUGACUUACCGGGAAAUGACUUCAAUACAAUCUUCAAAUCAUUGCCUAAUUUCCUUCAAAAUUUGAGAAGGGAAAUUGGAGGUGAUGUUGGGCCUUGUCUUUUUACUGGAGUGCCUGCUUCUUUUUAUGGAAGGCUUUUUCCUAAGAAAAGUGUCCAUUUUGUUCAUUCUUCUUACAGUCUUCAUUGGCUAUCCAAGGUAAAUAUUAACUUUUCUUCUUCUUCCUUUUUUCUCAUCAUCAAAGAUUGGUAGAGAGCGUAAAACACUUUUUUUCAAAAAAAAAAAAAAAAUUAAAGGUGAUUACGAGUUGGGUAGAUCGAGAGAAGUUUCUGUGUAUUACAUACAUUAUAUACAAAAUGCAUGUGAACAUAUACUUCUCUAGCUAUAAUUGAUUCGAUACAUAAUAGUAAAUUCAUACUAUUAAUUUUUUUAUUGUGUGUAAGAGGAGAAACCUUAGUAGUGGUUAAUUGAUUCACUUUUGUUUGAAUAUGACUAAUUUUAGAUUUUAUUUGCUCAUUUUAGCCCUGUAUUUUUAAAAAAAUUAUUUUAGUUUCUGAACUUCUAACAAAAAAUAUUUUUCAUUUUUGCUAGAUUCUACUUCUUUUUCCUUUAAUAUUCUGUUGUUAAAUGCUUGUCCCUAAGCAUCAUCCAUAUAUUAAAUUUUGAGUAAUUUCCCUAAGGGAAAAAAGUACAUAGAAAUAUCAUUAGUUUUAAAAGAAAGAAAGAAAAAAAAAACAAUAAAAGCAAUAACCAAAAUAACAGUUUUAUUGGUUUAAAGAUUAACUAGCGAAAAUAGAAAAUGGAAACCCUAAACCUUUGAGAUGCCUAAAUAGGUGCUCUACUAAUCCUUUUUCCUCUAGGAUCUUAUUCAAAAAAUGAAAAAAAAAUGGCAGUUUAGUGACAAAAUGAAUAUAUUAAAUAUUUAAAGACUAAAAGAAAAACAAGUCUAAAAAUUGAUGAAACAAAAAUGAGAUUUAAACCAUAGUUUUCUAUUGUUCUUGUGUAUAAGAGUAUUGAAAUUUGCAAAAAAAGCAUGUACAUAGAUUUCUUAGAGGGUAUUUGGACCCUUAACUUGAAGUUGGUUAAGUGGAGCUGUUAUAACUUCGCUGAGCUCCAUAUAUAAUUAUGAUGCAGUGAAUCUAUAUCAUUUAAAACUUAGUCAACUGAAUCUCCCAAAUUAAUGCCCCACCUUCUCUAACUUUGCAAGGAUUGAAAUUUGUGUAGGUUCCUGAAGGGUUGGAGGAGAAUAAAAGAAACAUAUACAUGACUGGUAAUAGCCCCAGGAGUGUUGUGAAGGCCUAUUACAAUCAAUUCCAAAAGGACUUUUCAUUAUUUCUCAAGUGUCGUGCACAAGAAUUGGUGGAUGGUGGUCGUAUGAUUUUGACAUUGCUAGGAAGGAGAAGCCAAAACCCAGCUAGCAAAGAAUGCUCUUACAUUUGGGAGCUUUUGGGUCUAGCUCUUAACGACCUAGUCGAUCAGGUAAACACCAUCGUGUCUAAUCUCAUAUUUAUCUUAAUGUGGUAUCACAACAAUAGAACCCUCAAAUAAUAAUUACAACAAUUGUAAGAUACACAAGUUACUUUCGAUCUUUUCCAGGGAAUCAUAGAAGAGGAGAAAUUGGAGAGUUUCCACAUACCCAAAUACAUGCCAUCACCAAUAGAAAUAAGGAUUGAGGUUGCAAAAGAAGCAUCUUUUGUGAUUGAUAGCAUUAAAGUUUCACAAGUAGAUUGGAACGUUUCGGAUAAUAAUGAAAUGAACAAAGCAAAAUCAGUAGAUGUAAGUUUGAAGGGGAGUGGAUACAAUGUAGCAAAGUACAUGAGGGCAGUGGCUGAACCAAUUCUUAUCAGUCAUUUUGGAGAAGAAGUUAUGGAUGAAUUGUUCAUCAGAUACAGAGAAAUCAUUGCAGACCGUAUGGCCAAAGAGACAACUCAAUUUUUCAAUGUCACUGUUUCCCUUACUAAACCAAGGUAAUUAUGGAAAAUGACCUAAGAUUCUAUAGUUGUUAAUUAGGUCUAGUUGGCAGUUAAUUAUCUGAUCUUUUUUUUUUGUAAUCAUUUGAUUUUUUGUUCUUUUGUUUUUUAAAAUUAAGACUAUAAACAUUACUUUCAUUUCUAAAUUUCUUGCCUUUUGUUAUCUAUUUUUUGUUAAUAUUUUCAAAAACACUAUGCCAAAAUUUAAAAAUUAAUCUCUUAUAUAAUUAAAAGAGAGUUGCAAAAUAAUGAAGACCAUAAGCAUUUUUCCAUUUCUAAUUCCUUGUUUUCUCAUCUAUUUUCUAUAACAAUUUUGUUUUUAAAAAACCAAACCAUGUUUUGAAAACUAAAAAAUUUAAAGGUGGUUUUUAAGAAUUUUUGUUUGUUUUUUAAAUUUAGCUUAAGAUCCUAACCAACAAGUUAGUACUUUAGAGAAAUUGAAAGAAAGAAAACAAGCUUGAGUUUUAAAAAUAAAAAACAAAAAACAAACGGAUACCAAAUAACUUAAAUUAUAUCGUCAUAUCUAUGUAAGGAUGCUAGUUGUGUAUGCAAUGUUUGUUCUUCUGUGUACUAAAAUAAAUGGAAGACUCGUGGAUAAGAAGUUGAAGUGUUAUUAUUGGCCAAAAGUAGAGAUUUCUGAUCUUUCCUUUUUCUUUUUCUUUUGCUCUCUGUCUUCAAAUUUUAGUAUUUCUGUUAUUUUCAGGUAUAUGUGUAAGAAUGUGAAUGUGAGGUGAUGAGACAAAAGAAUUAUUUGGAUACUUUAUAGAUCUUCAUUUUUGCACCACCUAAAAUCUUGUGGAUGAGAGUUGAAUGGUAGGACGAUAGACCAAUUUGGCAGUUCCCAUUAUGUCUUAGGAAAUGAUACAUAAUAAUUUCAAAUCUUACACUAUAUUGUUGGACGCACGGCGAAAUAAAUCCAUGCUGGAACCAUGGAUCAUUAUUGUGUACUUACAAAUUCCACAAUGAAAUAGGAACUAAUAAUAAUAUAUUCUGUCAAGCAGAAAGAAGUGUUAUUUUGAAUAAAGACAUAGGUAUUAAUAUAUUUAUAAUCUAUGAUACGAACAUGAGGAUGGUUUAGUUUUGGAAAAGUCAUUUUAAAAAAAUUAAAGGGUUACACACCCAAUUAAAUUAACUUUUCAAUAAAUACUUUCUAUCAAAAGUCUUUUUAAUUGGAUAGAUAUAUGAAACCGUUGACAAUAAACAUUAAAGUUGACAAAGUUAAGUUAUUCAAUUAUUUUUUUUUGGCUAAACACGACCCUAAAAGGAGAGUCUAUUUGGUAGGCAAAGUUGAAUUUUUGUUUUCUUUUUUCGUAUUUAUUGAGCUCGUAAAAUAUUUGUCUUGAAGCCGUUUAGACUAUAUUUUUUAAAAGAUAUUUUCAAAUUUUGUAAUUCAAACUCGCAAAUUUUCAAAUCACCAUUUGUUUUAUACCUAUUUUCAACAUAUUCAAAAUUUAUAUUUGAAAUUUUAAAAUGAACUACAUUUUUGUUUAUGAGGAAACAAGGUGAGAAAGCAUAAGCUUAGAAACCACAAAUAUAUUAAUAAUAGAGGGACCGGAGAGAAGCCCAGAGUACAAAAGGAUUACAUAAACGCAUGAAAGUUGAGAGCUAUAUGGUGUUGGCAUUAUAAUUUCUGAACAAUCUAUGCCUACCACUCCACAAACCAAUGAAAUUACAACAAUCUUCCCAUAAGUUAAUAGAGCUUUUUUGUUUGUUUGUUAUUGAAAAUCCUAUUAUUUUUCUUCAACUAGAAUAUUCAUAGUUGCACAAAGGAAAAUGACAUUUCUAGUAAAUCAGUGGUAGGGAGAGCACACGGUUUGUGAAGAGGAGGUGCUGCAUUUCAGAAAGAGAUGGUCAACAUCUUCACAUCUAUUUUUGCAAAGAACGCACUAGUGGGGAUUGAGGUAGGAACUCGGGUUCCUUCUUUGGAGAAGAUCCAUAGUAUUAGUUGUAUUUCUCUAUGAAUAAUGCGACAAAUGAAGGAUUUAACAUUUCUUUAGGAAGGACGCCCGCCACAAGUUGGAAAAAUGAGUAUUAUCGAAUCGUGGAGAAAUUUUAAAAUGAACUAUGAUGUUAGAAAAUAGUUUUAAAAAUAACAAAUAAAAUAUUUAAGUUAUAAACUCAAUUAUAUAGUAUAUGAUAUUACAAAAUAAUAACUACAAAAAUUUAACAUAAAACAAGCUAAUAAAUCAAUUAUUAGUAAUAGUUUUUAUUCAAUCUAAUAACAUUAUUAAGCGUAAUUAAUUUCAUGGUUUAUGUAUAAAUAUAUAUACAUACAUGUAUCAUCACAAAACAAUUUUUUUAAAAAAAGUGUUUAAAUUGAAAUAUAAUUGUUAAAAUUGGUACUAUGAAACAUAAAAUAUAACUCUUAUCUCCGUACAAGUAUUUUUAAACUUAUGCUUUCAUAUUGGUUAUUGCCGUCCAAUGCGCCCUGCAACCGUUUCUUAACAAUAAAAAAGUUUACUAUUUGUAAAAUUAUCACAAAACCUAUUAUCAACAUUAUUAAAUGUUUAUAAAUUACUUAUUUCAUAAACAUUCACAUAUUUAAUUACAAAAAAAAAAAAAAAAAAAAACCCAUAGGAUUUUGUUAAGAAAAGUAUUAAAUUAUGGAAAAUAAAAUAAUAUGCCACUAAAAUUUAAUUUUACUUAACGAGUAUAGUGUUUUUAAUUAAGGCAUGCGAUUUGAUAACUAAUGCCUAAAAAUAAGAUGUUUGUAUUUUUUUUUUUUUAUAAACAUCAAAAUUCAAUAACUACUUUAACUAAACGUAAGACUAUUAGAAGUAAUUUAGUCACAAAAUAAAUAGAUAGCUACAUCAUCGACUAAAAUAAAAAAAAAAAAAAAAAAAAAAAAAAAAAGAUGAUUUUUUUUUUAUUAAACUUUAAUAAAUUAUUUAAUUUAAUUACUUAAAAUUUAAAAUAAAUAUCAAUUAAUUAGGAUAGCAAUAACUAAUAAUAAAACAUAGAUCUUCAAUUAAUAAUAAUAACAAUAAUUUUAGUUUAAUUAGUUGAGAUAAUAUAAAAUAUUAAUUGUAACUGUAUUAGUUGAAAUUAUUGAAACUAAAUAAUAUAUUUAUACUUAAUAAUAAUUAAACAUAAUAGUGAUGACUAAAUGGUAUCAAUUAAUUAAUUAUGCAAUAUUUUUACAGGCAAAUGAUCUUCAUGUAUAAAAUCACAACCGUACUAUUAGAAAAUUCAUGUCAUUAUGACAUGUUUUAAAGCUCUCUACAUAAUAUAAUAUCUUUAGAAAAAAGGAAAAUAAUGUGAAAUAAAAAGGUGACUUUGAAAUAUAUGUAUGAAAUCUCAUUGCAAAAUCUCUAUAAUAACAAAGAGACUCUAAACCCUAAAGUAAUAGAUCAUAUGUGUGGUAUGUGUGUGUAGUUUAUACAUACAUCAAUUGUGUAGCAGAUAUUAUUAAAACUGUGUUUGAUAAGUUGCUUGUUUAUAUUCUGCUUUAAUUAAUAAGUUGUUGAAUUUCUCUGUAUAACUAUACUUAAUAACCCUAAUUAAGUCAUUGAAUAAUUAUUAUUUUACCAUUCAUGUCUCAUUAAAAAGGAAAGAAAAGAAAGAUUAUAAUCUUUUCAUUUCUUUUUCAAAAAUCUUGCAACAAGUAAUAAAAUAUGACGUUUGUAAUUGUUUUCUAGAAUUCAGUAGAAGUUCAAAAGAAUUCAAAUAAUUAUGAUAUUAGUUAUAGUCAAGUUAUAUAUAUACACAUUGGUCCAAUAUUUUUGUUAUUAUCUAAAUACGUCUAUAAAUUAUUAUAUUUGACGUCCUGUGUGUAUAUAUGUAUACAAAAAUAAAACUAUCAAAUAGAUAAUUCCAAUAAUUAAACUCUUUAAACCAUUAAAAUCCAAUAAAAUAUAAGAGUUGAUUUUAAAUGUAAAUGAGCUAUUUCUUUUUUUAAAGUUAUCUUAAAAUAUCAUCAUAUCAUCACCAAUAGAUAACUACCAUCAUUCACUAAUAAACACUAAUAGAUAUUUAUAAAAAUAUCUACCACUAUAAACAAAAACAUGUUAUAAUAUUUAAAGUAAUUUAAUUAAUCGUUUAAAACCGUAAAAAUUUCUUCUUGUAAAUCAAGUUAGGGUGACAUAUCACAUGAGGUUGUGUGUGUAUUGUUAAAAUAAACGAGCUUUGUUGGGAUGAAGGGAGGAUGUUGAGAGAAACAAAAGUAAAGAAAGAAAGAAAAAAGGCAAGGUGUGAUUUGGAGCAAUUACUUAGCAAAGAAAUAAGAUGAAUUGAUUUAUUUGUUUGUUUUUCAGAUUGAGGGAGAAGUUUCUUUCAAUUAACGAUUGGUGCAACAUCCGCUGACUUUCAAGUCAUCAAUAGAAAAAAGUCAGACUCUCCACUACCGUUGGAUUCCUACAAAUAAAAAAUCCUUGUUGAUGGAAGAGGUUCAACUAACCUAUCUGACCGUUGAAUAAUCUUCUUCAACUUCCCUUCCCACUUCCCACUUCCCUCCCAUCUCCAUCAUAUGCGCUAUUCAAUUAAAAUUACUCUAAAUUAUAUACUCUUACACAAUAAUAAUACCCUUUCAACUUUUCUAAUUCUUUAACAUUUCAAACAAAAAUCAACAUGCAUGUAAUCAUUCCAUAUUUUAAAUUUCCAUCCAUUCCAUAAAAUUUUUACUUCAAUUGUUAUUUUGCAAGGAUACAUCCUGAUUACUUUUAAAACAAAUGACAAAAUUAUAUUCAAAGGUAAAAUUCAACGGCUCAAGAUAAAAAGUAUAUAUAUAUUUUAAGAAAAUCUUGCAAUAGUUAAAUAAUUAUAUUAUUAAUAUGAUAUUAGAGUCAUUUACCAGCAUAAUGAAUUGAUUAGGAGGUGUAACUUUCACAUGCCAACAAAGCAAAGGACAUGGAAGAAGCUUUAUAAACACGUUAUGUCAUAGCAUGUAAAUAGCUUUCAUUUCAUUACACAAUUCCACAAGAAUUUCAGAGAGAAAUCCUCCAUUAUACUCUUUUUCCAAUUUCCCAUGGCCGUAACUAAAACCGUUAUGAAACUUGAUAUUGCAUGCCAAAAAUGCAAAACCAAAGUUCUUAAAGCCGUUACCGCCAUUGAAGGUACCUUUCUUCAUCUUCUUCUUUGGAUAUAUCAUUAUUAAACUCCUUAACUUCCAUAUAAAUCUUUUAUUUUCUUUAUGAAUUUUGUAAACUAACUAUAGGUGUCGACAAGGUCGAGACAGAUGAAGCUAAGGGAACUUUGGCUGUGAUCGGCACGGCAGAUCCAUUUGAGAUAGUUAAACGUACAAGAAAGGCGAUUGCUUGUGCUGGCAAGGUCGCCGAUGUAGUGAGCAUUGGACCGCCACCCAAACCAGACGAGAAAAAACCGGAGGAGAAAAAACAGGAGGAGAAGAAACCAGUAGACAAGAAACCCGACCCGCCUCCUUGCCCAUGUCCACCCUACCCCUGCCCACCUUAUUAUGGAUCGUCCUAUGUGAUCGUACCCCAUGAAACUUAUCCUUCUUGCUCUAUUCUUUAAUCAAAUUAGAAGUAUAAAUUAUUAUUUGAGGUUGCUUAAAUAUAAUUAAUGUAGUUAUGUUAUGUGUGUUGACACAUGAUUAUUAGAUAUGUUUAGAUAUGUUUGCAAGUGUAAUUUUAAAUUUUUCUUGAUUAAUGGUUGUAGGAAGACCAAUUCAUAAUUUUGCAAUCGAUCAUAAACAAUGAAUUUGAAAUUGAAGGUCAAGAUUAGAAGUUGUAUGGCAAUGAUAUUUUUGUUAAUGUAAUAAUGUAACAUAGUGGGGAUCAUAUUGACCCAAUUUAUUAAGAAAUUAGAUAUAAUUUAUGAAUAAAAUUUGGAAGAUAUGUUUGUAGUAGUUAGCAUUAGCAAUAGAUUCUCGUUUUGUAGUGCUCCAUCCGGCCGGUCACCACUUGGGAAAUUAUGAAUAUUAACUAUACCAUUACGUGAGCUCUUCAUAAUUAUGAUUACAUUAAUUAAGUGCUCUCUAUUAAUUCUUUUUAGUCUUACAAAAUUAUAUUUAUUUAUUUAUUUAUUUUAUUUUUCAUAAAUAUAACCCAAUGAAAGGGAUGAAACUAACUAUUUAAAAAAAAAUUCACGUUUAUUCUUUCAUUAUCUUUCUUCUCUUUUUUCUACCGUUUUUUCUUCAUUUCGAUACUAUUUAUCGUCUUUUUUUCUUCUUCUUCAAUUUUUUAAAAAAUAUUUUCGUUUGACCUUCUUUUCGUAUUCUUUAUUCUACAAUUUUUCUUUUCCUUCUAUCGUAUUUUUUUUCUUUUUUGUAAUUUUUUAAGAUAUAAUUUGUUGAAAACGGUAAAAGAAGUAAGAGUUUUACAUUUUUGUACAACAUGUGCCAAAGCGUGGAACAGACAAUGUUUCCAUCCCCAUCCUCACUCUUAAUUUGCUUCUCAAAUAAGUUUCACUACAUUACGAUACACUCCUCUCUCUCUAUCUAUAAAAAUCUCAACUAUACUUAUACAUUCACACGUUCACGUAUUACUCAAUUUUUUUAAAAUAACAAAAUAAAUUAAAAUAUUUAUAAACUAUAAUAAAAUUUUGGAUUCUAUAAAUUAUAACCACUCAUACACUUUUAUUACUAUCUAUUAUUGAUAUAAUCUAAAACUUUUGUUAUAUGCCGUAAAUAUUUUGUUAAAUUUACUAUUUUCUUUUUGACAAUUUCUAUAAAAAUAUCUAAUAAGUGUAUGAAAAUUUUAAGUUUGUGUCAAUUCUUUUUUUAAAAAAAAAUUAUAUAUAAUACACCAUAGUAUAUUUGCCCCGUUUAGAUGACUUUGUUUAGGGUUUUAUAUUUUCUAAAUCUACGUUUGUUUAUUCCUAAAAUUCAUAUUGUUAUUAUUUUAUACCUUUAUUGAUAAAAGCACUCAAAUUUUUAUUCUUUUUCCUUUCUUUUUUCUUUACAAAAGAACUAUUUCUUUUUCUUUUCUAAAAGAGCGAUAUCUUUUCAAAAUUGGCUUUUUAUAUAAUAAUAAUAAAAAAAAAAGUUGGAUAAGAAUGGAUUGGAUACCAAAUCAAAGAAAUUUGUGGAUUUUAAUAAAUUAUGUUAAAUAGGUCAAGUAGUUUAGGCAUAAAAGUGCUUAAGAAUGUUUAUAAUUCAUGAGAUUCAAUAAAACAUCAGAUAGUUUGUUUGAUAAAAAAGAAUUUGGAGAUAUUUAAAUCUUUAUAUAGUUGCAACAAUAAUCUUUGUAUAUGAAUGAUAUGAGAAUGAGUAAAAUUGGAAAACUGUUUUGGAAGGAAAGUAGAAUAAUGUGAAAAAAAAAAAAAAAAGAAGCAAUUUUCUUUCAUCUAUAUUUCCAAGGUUGACACCAUUGAUGACUUUGGGAGAAACAUUGCAAAACGAGUUGUUUUCACGUAGAAAUUUCUGUGCAAUUUAAUUUGACAGUUUUAAAAAGUUUGUUUAAAAUUAAAUUAAGAGUCGUCGUGGUCAUCUUUUUUUAAUUCAUGACCCAUAGUUGCAUUGCUUUUUAAUAUUUAUUAUUAUUCUCUUUUUACGUUGGGUCAUUUCAAGGACCAAAUUUUUUCUUUUAUUUUUCUGAUUUUGGUUUUACUAAAAUAGAUUUAUUCUAUAUUGUUUAUUUCAACUUAAUUACGAUUUGUAUGUCUAAUUAUGUUGUUUUUGGCUAAAACUAAUUUAUACAAUCAAUUAAUAUUGGUGCAAUCAUAAAUUCAUUAUAUUGUAAAUUGGGAAGUGUACUGAUGUUUUAUAUAUUUAGAAUGAGAUGUGAGACGUGUAGGUAGGAUAGGAUUUUGAUCAUAAGAUGUUAGAAAAUUGCUCAAUUUAAUCAAUAUGUCUCCAAUUUCCUCUCUCUUUAAUCAGUAAAGUGCAUAUGGGAACAAAUGUUCACAAAUAUUCCAUAAUAAUAUGAUAGUAAUGACUUUUAAGGCAGAGUAAUUUUCUCCCUUUUAGAUUGACACAUCUUCUAAUAGUAGAAGAGAAGAACUCAUCUGAAACUUUUAAUUUUCUAAAAAACUCACCAACUGCAUUUCUUUGAUCUAAUGAUGACAUACAACAUAAAGUCGUGCAAUUCCUGUCUUAUAUCUAUUUCUUGAACAUGAAUGACAAGACUUCAAAUUAUCUCUAUGGCUCUCUUUAAUAUUCAACAGUGUAUUGAUUACAUUUCCACAUACAUUUUUAACCUUCAAGUUUGAGAAAAAUAUCAUAGAAAUAAUUUUUCUUCAUUUUCUUUGUUUCAUUUGCCUUCUCAUUAUUGAAGGAUUAUAAUUUUGAGAUGUGGAGUCCUAACGAUCAAAUUAUAACUUUUAAAAUUGCAAGAUUAUAAUUUUGAGAGGAAAACACAACUUUGUCCCACUAAACUUACGGUUUUAUUAUACAAGAAGAAACCAUUUUUGUUUUGUGAGAUUAUUUAUGGAAGACACUAAAUUAUUUUUUCAACCAUAUAUAUCACAAUCUUAAGACAAAAUGCAACUUUUCUUCCAACGGUAAAGUAUGGAUUAAUAAAUACUAAACUCUAAAUUUUAUUUCCACGUGAAAUUAUUAAUUAUUGUCAAGUAUUUUUUCUUCAUCUACCCACCAAAUGAAAAAAAAUUAUAAAUAUAACAAACUUUAUAUCCAAUUCUUAAAGUUCAUUGGUAGUAGAACAUAACACUAAGCAAUAGAGUUGAUCACUUAUAAAUUUUGCUACAUUUACUAGUCUUUCAAAAGUAUCCACCCAAUUAUUAAUCCUAAAAAUAUUACCAUUAUAAAUAUAUGCAAUGAAUGCAGUACAAUAACAACUACAGUAACAAAAUGAAUCUUUUUUUAUACUAGAACACAAAUAUAUUUCAUUAAGUAUAAAAGAAAAUGUAUAAGUUGGGUAGGACGAUAAAUCCAAUUAUUAUUGAAAAAUGAUGACAAAUAUUAAAUACAAGUAAUAAGUGAUAAAUAUAAUGCAAUGUCAAUUAAUUUGAGUGGUUCAAAAGCACAUGUCACCACAAAAAUUGUCACUUGGGUUCUCAAUAAAUAUAUAUUAAUUUAUGUAUAUGAAUAUAUAAAUUAGAUUAAAACGAAAUUAAUUAAGUGGCUUCUUGUUAAUAAAAUAAAUUGACUUCACAAAAGAAAAAAAAAAUUAAAGUCAAUAGGGAAGUACUACACUUCAAUUUACAUAUAAUACAAUGACAACAUGUAAUUCUAUUAAACAAUGGCCUCCAAAUUUGAAGAAACCAAUAAUGGACAAAUCCACAUUAUUGUUGAAAUUAAUUCUAUAUUAAUCAACCUAUAUUCUUUUCUGUCUAAAGAAAAUAUAGAUUAAUCUUUGUUUUUUCUUUCCUUUCUCUGCUCAAUAAUUUGAUAUAAAAAUAAACAGUCUUCUUAUCGAUCAUAAAACAUAAAAGAGGUGGAUUGUAUUUUCAAAUGUUUAAUUUAAAAAUAAAUUACUUUUUAGAAAAAUAAAGAACAGGAGACUUUGUGUAAAAUAGUUUUUUGAAAAAUACUUUUUCCUUUAAGUUACUUUGACCUUUUGCCUAUCUCAUCAAGCCACAAAAUUGCAUAUACCAAUUAUUACCUUUAUUAUUGUUAUUUUCAAUUAUCAACUUGUAACUCAUUGUGCCAAAUUGAAGUAAUCCAACUGUGAUUUUUCUUUAAUCAGGUCCAUAUAUGAAAAUGAAUUGUCCAAAUAGAGCUUGUAUUAAAAAGUAUAAUAACAAUACAACAUUCAAGAUUUUGACACAACUUGUAAGAUCUUGAACACAAUGCUACUGUCCAAACUGUUGGGAUUGAAUUGGGCCUUUGGCCCAAAACAAAAGGCAAGGAAAACAUUUUGAAGGAAAAGCAGUUGUCUUACAUGGAUGGAAAGAUUUCAUUGGUUAAAGGGGUUGUUUACAUACAAAAGUAAUUUGCAUGAGAAGUUGAGAACUCUCAAUGUGAUUAUGGUAGAAGUUGAAACUUUCCUCACAUGCGCAUGCGUUGCCAUCAUUGGCAACUUCCACUAUUUGGGCUCCCAGUGUUAACAACGUUAUGUGACACCCAACCCAAAGCCGAAAAUCAUAUUUUAGCGUAUCCUUGAAAGAAGAAUACAAAAGGAAACAAACCCUUUCGAUUGCUUUUCUGGAAGAAACUAAAACCUUUUCCCCUUCUCUCUUUUACAACACAUACUGAAGUGUGUAUACCUACCUGAGUCGGUAGUUGGAAGCUCCAAGAACGAAAAAGCCGUAAAAAUGGCGACACCAUUUCAAACCAAAACUCCCCGAGUUUUCUGUAUCGCGACGGCCGAUACUAAGCUUGACGAGCUCCGAUUCAUUUCCCAUUCCGUUCGAUGCAACCUCAAUUCCUUCUCUACUGCUUCUUCUUCUUUCAAGGUUUCACUUCUUCAACCUCUUUCCUCUACAACUUUAUGUAAAAACUUUUCAUAUGCAUUGUCUUGUUUUCUGUGGAUUUGGUUCAAGUUGUGCUUUCAACUUUGAUUGUUUAAACUAUUGGAGCUAAACGACGUUACUUCGAUCUCCAAAUUUGUAUAAUUCUCACUUUAUCUGGCUGUAAACAGAAUCUUCGUUGUUGAUUAAGGAUUCCCUCCGUUUUGUUUGUAUUGACUGCGUGUGGUUACGGAAAUGUCAGGUUGAAGUGACGAUUGUUGAUGUUUCUACCAGUAAUCAGAAAGGGAUCGAGAGUUUGGAUGAUUUUUUCUUCGUGUCGAGGGAGGAAGUCCUCUCUUGCUCUAAUCUCACUGGAAAUCAUCUUCCCGAUGAUCGAGGAAAAGCAAUUUCGAUAAUGAGUAAAGCACUUGAAUCUUAUCUUAGUAAAGCCAAGGAGGAUGGGAUUAUUGCUGGAGUUAUAGGACUUGGAGGCAGUGGAGGGACGUCUCUCAUAUCCUCUGCGUUACAAUCUCUUCAAAUUGGCAUACCUAAGCUUAUCGUCUCGACGGUUGCGAGUGGUCAGACAGAAUCUUAUAUCGGGACAUCUGAUGUGAUACUUUUCCCGUCCAUAGUGGAUGUGUGUGGGAUUAAUUGUGUCAGUAGGGUUAUUUUAUCCAAUGCUGGUGCUGCAUUUGCUGGAAUGGUGGUUGGACGACUUGGGACGCUGAAAGAUUCUUGUGAUUCCAAUGAAAAACCAACAGUGGGUUUAACGAUGUUUGGGGUUACGACUCCCUGUGUCAAUGCUGUUAAAGAACGAUUGCUUAAAGAGGGAUACGAAACCCUUGUUUUUCAUGCUACUGGGGUUGGAGGGAAAGCAAUGGAAUCGCUGGUCAGAGAGGGAUUUAUACAGGUGCUUUUAUCAAGAGAAUUAUUUUAUUUCAAGUGGCUACAUGUUAAGAUCUGUGAGUUAACUGCCAAAUAGGAAAACAUAAUGCAUGUUGACUUGUUGAUUAUUGCAAACCAGAGCCUUGCCUCUGACAAUGUCGGCUGCUGGUUAAGUUGCCUCAAAACUUACAUGCACAAUAAAAUAGUAAGCAGGGAAUGGUUUUAUGUAUUAUUGAAAAAUAAAUAUAUUUUUUUGUGAAAGAAAUAAGUUUAUUGUUUAUUAAAUCAUUUGAACUCGAACAUGUUUACCUGUACUCUCUCAAAAAAUGUUGUCUUAUUAGUGGAUGAAAGAAAACCAUGAGGGUCAGUAAUCCCAUCCCAUCCCCCCAAUUGGAGAUAACUUGAUCAUUAACAGGUUUUUUUUAUUUUUUUUUAUAUUAUUUUUUUCUGGCUGAACAUUCCCUUUCUAUAUGUCGCCUAGGGUGUCUUGGACAUCACAACCACAGAGGUCGCUGACUAUUUAAUAGGAGGUGUCAUGGCUUGUGACAGUACCCGCUUUGAUGCCAUUAUAGAGAAGAAGAUCCCAUUAGUUCUAAGUGUGGGAGCAGUGGAUAUGGUGAACUUUGGAUCCAAAGAUACAAUACCCUCAAAUUUUCACGGAAGGAAUAUAUAUGAACAUAAUAAACAGGUGAUUUUUCUAUGAGGUUCUGUUUUGUUUGUUUUUUGGCAAUUUAUUUCAUUGACUUUUGACAUUGUAAUAUCUCAAAUUAACUAUUUGUCUCUCUUGUUCAAUUUAGGACAGUAAGUUAGCAUCCACUACUCUUUAUGAUCAGAUUUGUUGAAGUUUUUCAUACCUGUCUCCAUGCUAGCUGGAAAUAGUUCGUUUAUGUUUCUCUUCAUUCAUACUGAACAAGGAAACUGAUAACUUUUCAGGUUUCUCUCAUGCGAACUACGGUGGAAGAGAACAGAAAAAUUGCUCAUUUUAUAGCUGAUAAGAUCAACAAUUCAUCGGCAAAGGUUCGUGUUUGCCUGCCACAGAAUGGCGUAUCUGCUCUGGAUGCACAAGGGAAGUCAUUUUAUGAUCCUGAGGCUACUGCUACUCUUAUAGAGGAACUACAGCGAGCUAUUCAGUUAAAUAAUGAUAGGCAGGUAGUUAAGUUAUGUACAGUUACUUUUAAUUAUAAAUACCCUGUAACUCUCUCUGAAAAGAUAUAAAAAAUAACACUCCCAUUCUUGAGAAAUUCUCUCCAUUCUGUAUUCUUUCACUAGUAAAGUUAUUAUUAUCGAGUUCUUCUCUUUGUUGACCGAUCCUCAGCUGUGUGUUGUAAAGCUUAAAGCUCUUUAUGAUACAGGUGAAGGUAUAUCCUUAUCAUAUUAAUGAUCCUGAGUUCGCUGAGGUAUUGGUUAACUCAUUCUUGGAAAUUACUUCAAAAGAUACGGACUCAUGUGGCCCAAAACUUGUUUUAGCUGAAACUAGUCGAGACCUUCGAAAGGACUUCAUUUCUGAGUCCAAUUUGUCUGCCAAUGAAAACAUUACAUACAGUCUUAGUGACUUCCCAGAGGCAAGACCAGGUUAUUACCAAUGUCAUUUGCUUGACCUUUAAGUGUAAGAAAGCAUACAAUUUCGGUAAUUAGUUUUUCUGGGCUGCUUAAUCUGAUUAUGUCAAUAAACAGAAACUUUGCGAAGAACACGAAUGAUAUUGGGGAACUUGAAAGCUCAAAUACUUAAAGGAGUUCCCAUAAUAGGGGCUGGUGCAGGCACUGGGAUAUCUGCCAAGUUUGAAGAAGUUGGUGGUGUUGAUCUGAUAGUAGUGUACAAUUCAGGGCGGUUUCGCAUGGCUGGGAGGGGUUCUUUAGCAGGUUUGCUGCCUUUUGCCGAUGCUAAUGCCAUAGUGCUUGAAAUGGCCAAUGAAGUAUUGCCUGUAAGUUCUAUCUUCUAUGCACCUGCUGAUUCACAAAGUUAAUUCUAGGAAUUGUAUCUACAAAUUGAUCGACCCUUUGCAAGCAUACAAUUUUGAAGAAUAAAUUGUAUAAAUAUAUUUCUGUAUAUAUGAACAUUGGAAGUAAUUUUGUGUUGCCUAGAACUGAAAUCGGUUUAUCGAUAAAGGAGGAAUUUAUUGGACAUUGAAAUUACUUGAAAGGAUUUUUCUAGUCAAGCACUGUGAUAUACCCAGUGGAAGUGGAGAUCUUGAAUGUGGAACAUUAUUUAUAUCAGUAGAUUAGGAAGUCUCCAGAUAACCUGAGUGAGAGAUGUUAACCUUUUUGAUUUGUCAAUAAUGUUGGAACGUACAUUCAGAUUAUUUGGGUAUUUUGAAUGUUGUCUUUAUUUUUUUAUAUUAGAUGUCAUAUCAUAUUUUAUAGUUUUCUUUAGUUUUGCAUUCUUAAUCCUGAUGAAUAUAAAACUUGUGUCAUAAAUAUGUGUAGGUGGUGAAGACAGUUCCCGUGCUUGCUGGAGUAUGUGCUUCUGAUCCAUUUCGUCGAAUGGAUUACAUUCUAAAGCAGGUGGAGUCAAUUGGAUUCUCUGGAGUGCAGAAUUUUCCUACCGUUGGAUUGUUUGAUGGUAACUUCAGACAAAACCUUGAAGAAACAGGAAUGGGAUAUGGGUAGGCUGUAUAUUAUGGAAUCAAAUAUUAUACCCCCAAAUCAUUCUUCAAUAUUGUAUCUUACAUGGAUCUUUUUUAAUCAGAUUGGAGGUCAAGAUGAUUGAGAGGGCCCACAAAAUGGGUCUCUUGACAACCCCAUAUGCCUUUAACGAAGAUGAAGCCUUAGACAUGGCAAAGGCCGGUGCAGACAUUAUAGUUGCCCAUAUGGGACUCACUACCUCUGGAUCUAUCGGAGCCAAAACUGCACUCUCAAUGGAGGAAAGUGUAGUCCGUGUACAGGCAAUAGCAGAUGCUGCUCGUAGGAUCAAUUCUAAUGUUUUAGUGCUCUGCCAUGGAGGUACCAUCUCUGAACUAUAAUAAUGGUUGAUUAACUUUCACAACUUAACUACUUUACUGCACUCAAGUGUUUGAAUCUUUCAUAAUCCUGUCCAUUGGUCCAACACUCAACACAGAGACUCUAUUAUAAGCUGGGAUUAUGUGGUAAAACAUACAAAUAUUGCCACAGUUGGUAAUAAAUGCUAUCAGCUCUCUCUAUAGGAGUUUCAGAACCACUUCUGGGAAGAUUGCAGUGCUAAAAUGAUAAAUACAAAAAGUAUAUGUAUAUAUAGCUUAAAUGAGAGAUUGUGAGCAUCUUCGUCUAAUAAUUGAAGGAUACACUGGUGAUGAUUGGGCAGAUCAAUCUUAGAUAGAAGUCUUAGCAUAGCUAGGCUAGUGCAUGUUGGAGAAAACCUUGUUGAGUUUAGACUUCAGAGCUAUUGCCUGAGGGUACAAUCAUUCAAUAGAGUUGAAAGAACUUAGUAGACUGCCAAUAAACUCAUGAUUCAGUUCCAACAAAAUUGGACAAAUUAUGUUGAGAUUUAUCAAGAUUUGAGUUUUAUCUCCCUCCUCUCUCUCAAAAGCUGCACCAACACUGCUAAGUGUCAGUGUCCGACACAUGUGUCUGACACAUCAGCUGGGGUGUCAAUUAUUUUAUCAUCGUUUUUCUAAUUUCAGACACGUCCUGACACGUCUGAGACACUGAACCUGGAGAUCUGGAAAAAAAGUUAAUUAAAACUAACAUUAAAAGCCCAGCCCAAAGACUGACGAUCAACUCCACAUUUUAGGGUUAUUACGAUUGUCUCUGUCCUUUUCUUUCCUCAAAAACAGACAUCUCACAGCCACGAUAUCCCUCGUUUCUCCACUUUCAAAACACUCACGCCCAAACCUUCAUGCAUAAAUUAAUUAAUGAAUUUAAUGGUGUUUAACUUAAUAUGUUGAUGUUUUUACGUAGAAUAUUUCACAAUAUGCACGAUAUAUAUUUAUAUAUUUUAUUAUUUUUAAUAAAAGAAAAAUAGCCCACCAUGUCGUGUCCUUCCUAGGUUAAAAAGCCAACAAAAGUGUACACAAAGUCUCUAUGUUUAAUGGUUUCUUUUUAUGCUAACUGCGUGCAUAAGAAUGUAAUUACUCAUUCGUGAAAUGCACGAAAAUGAAAAGAUGAAGAAUUACUUGAAUAUUAAAAUUAUGUAAUGGUACUUUCAGGUCCUAUAUCGGGGCCUGCUGAAGCAGCAUUCAUUCUGAAGAGAACGAAGGGAGUUCAUGGAUUCUAUGGUGCAUCCAGCAUAGAGAGGCUACCGGUAGAACAAGCAAUAACUAGCACUGUCCAACAGUACAAAUCGAUUUCAAUGACAUAAAUUUUUGAAGUGUAGCCCUUUAUGAGCUUCAUACUUGGUAUGUAUAUUUCACUAAUAACCAGACCAACAAAAUUACUAAACCUGAAAAGUUCAAUAUCCUAUAUUAUCAAUACAUUAUUGAUAGACGUAAAAGUUGUUUGAUAUUUGAUACACAAUUAAUUAAUAUGUGUGAUCAUUCUCAAAAAAUUGUUUGAUAUGUAAUGAUAUAUACAUACAAUCCUUAGAUUUUAUAAACGUACAAAUAAAAUCAUUGAGAUCAUACUAGCUAUUUCAUGUAAUUUAAGUUAUGUAGAUACUUUCUUUUCCUUUUUCCCCCUUAAUUACAAUUUUAGAUAUAUUUCAGUUUCAACAAAUUAUUGAGAUCUGAUUAUUAUUGUUUUCAAACUCAAUGUCAAAUAAAAGCUUUGGAUUGAAAUUUGAGAAUUUAGAAAUUGAAAAUACCCCUCGGAAAAGCUUGAAGAAAUAUCCACGAUUUUUCUUUAUCUGCUAAAAAAAAUUCCAUAUAUAUUGCCAAUAUGUUGCAACUUUGUUAGUAAAAGAAAGAAAAAAAAGAUGUCACCUCCCUUUUUCCAUCUCUAUUAAAUUUGUAAUUUUAUGAACAUAUCUUGAUUUUUUAAUCCUUACAUACAUAUAACACAUAAGACCUAUAUUAUGGAUAACAUAGGCAAAAAUAAAUCAUAUUCGGAUGAAAUAUAUCAUAUCAAUUAUAAAUGGUUGCUAUUAUAUGCGUGAUAUAAAAGGUAUCAAUGAUGUAUCUAUAUCACUCUUAUACUCCAUAUUAAACAAAAUUAUUACAUUUUAGUUUAGUAACUGAAUAUCAUUUAAGAAAAACCAUACUUUGUCCGGAGAUAUUUUAUUGCUUGAUAUGUCUAGAUAUAAUCAAUAUAUCAUAUAAACAUUGAUUAUAGGACUUAUAGUUAAUAAAUAUCCAUCAAACAUAUUAGUUUUUAUUUCAAACAUCUCACAACCAUUGCCCUUACUUCGUGUAUUCCAAAAAUUUAACAUAACACAUAUAUAACUAGGUUUGGUGCUAUUGUGUUAGAUGAGACAAGAGUUAAAGAUGUGGUGUGUAGUUUUCAAGAAUCUUAUCUUUUAAAUUACGCUUAAAAUUGAUACAUCUAUUUAUAUUCAUAUAGCUUAAGCCAUGAACCUAAAAGCUAUACAUUAUAAUUAAUUAUAUAACUGAUAUCUUUUUUGUUAAUCUCUCGAAAAAAAUCAUCGAUCCUUAGAGGCUACAAUUCGAAGAUAAUUAACUUCUAAUUCUCCGCGCCGCUGAUAAUGAGGUUAAUAUAUAUUACUUUAAGUAAUCAAUCCUAUUCCGUACACGCUUUCUAUAAUUACUCAUUUUCCAACCCCUUUUUUCUCUUUUCUUUCGUUCAUCUCCCGCAAUUCCUCUGCUUCUACGGCUUUCUUAAGCGGUUUCCGACGGCUUAGAGUGCUUGACAAUAUCUUAUUGUUAAACAUUCUGUAAUUACGGAAAGAAUCGGAAUCAAGUGACCACGUCGGUCAUAAGUGGCCACCUAAGUUGUGUAACAUCUACUGCAUUUGAUCCAAGUAACAUGGUGAUUUUGUACUGGUUCAGUAGAUCGUACCAUCGAGAUUUGAGAUGUUGUAACUGCUAAGUUAAAACUCACACUGACUGCCCCUACUUAUCAAAUACGAGGUAUUGAAUAGCUAAUAAUGAUGAAGAACGAGUCAAGUGGAGGUGACAAUGGUAUUUUAUGGUUCUGGGAUUGGAAGACUGCUUAUAACUUUCAGCAAUCACAAACAAUUGCUCAACCUAGCUCGUUGGAUAGUGAAGCUGGGAUUUAUGCUCUCUCCUAUGACAUAGCUGGUUCGAGGCUUGUAACUUGUGAAGCCGAUAAAACUAUUAGAUGUGGAGAGAAGAUGAAAGUGCUACCCCUAUAACUCAUUAUCUCUUCAAAAAUAUCAAGCCAUCCAAAGAUACACGAAGAUUCUAGGCUUAGUUUUUCUUCUUUUUUUUUUUUUUUUUUGUAAAUAUAAUCAAUAACGUUUGUGAAUUCUUUGGAAAUUAGUCAAUUUUCCUUAGAACAUUGUAAUUGUCAUGUUUCUAUUUUCUAUUACAAACUACAAAGUACAGAAUAUUUGUAGUCUUGUGGCUAUUCACAUGAGAAGUUUUCUAUAGAAACGUAUAGAAUAUUUUCGUUCUUGUGUAGUGGACAUGUAUAUCAUAUAACAUUGAAACGUUAACGUUAUCAAGCACUACAUACAUAUUCACACCAUAAAUAUAAGAAUAUUUUAAAAAAAUACAUACUUCAAUGGAGAAUCGAGAGAAAAGCCUUUGUGCAAAAUCAAACCUAACAGGUAACUUGAUCUUAUGGAGUGCAUGACAAAUGACAAGUAGGAACUCUUGCUUAACUUAGUUUUCUCUAAUUAUAGUGGAAUUCAUAUAGACUCCAGUAAUAGUUUUUUUGUUCACACUGCAGCGUUGCAAAGUUCCUUUUUGUCUUUUUUUCUUCUAAUUUGCUUUUCUGUGAAGCUUAGAAAAGAGUGGAUAAUUAGAGGCCAUGAUAAUGCAUAUUAUCCACCUGCUUCCUCACAUUUUAUCUCAUUGCCAUGGAUUAGAAUCUUGCUGCUCGUAUCUACACCUAUACCUGAUAUAAAAUUCCUCCAUUUAUGCUUGUCCCAUCUUACAAGGUUUUCAAAGUAAUGGGGCAGCCACUUCUCAGCCUAGGGAUGUGUGCCUUCUUUUCAAGGCUAGGAUCUGGAUCAUCAACCGUCCACCUAAACAAUACAAAGGUAGCGGAACUGUUAUAAGGAUAAGAAGACGAAGGGGGGAAAAAUUCUGAAUUAUAUAUUGGAACAUGAUGAAAUGGCUACUGCUAGGAAUGUACAAACUCACCUGUACCCUCCAGUCAUUCUGUGCAAGAAGACCAACAUUGUUAAUUUGGCCAUGUUAAUUCCUAGACAGGUCCUGGGUCCAGAUCCAAAAGGUAUGAAACUGUAUGGCUUUUGAAUUUCCUGGAGGUAUGCCCCAUAGGUUAACAAUAAUAUAUGUUUAGUAGCCAAAGAAGGAAAAAAGAACAAGAAGAAACAGUGAUCAAUUGUAGGUAAAUACAUCAAAUCUGGAAGGGUUGAAUUUCAUGGGGUCCUUGUACACAUCUGGGUCAUAAUGAAUGCAUGUUGCAUCGAUGUUCACAUGCCACCCUUUCUUUAUUUCAAAAUCUGCAUAUCACGUGCAAAGUGAGUUGGAUGGGGCUCCCAUUACCCUCUAUUGAAUCAAUUUGUUCAAAAACUGCAUACCAAGUCCACAUGGCAUCCUUUUCUGUUUAUUUACCUAUAGAUAGAAUGCCUUUCUUUAUAUGGUGUUACUAUUCUAGCGGCAGAAAUAGUUCUAUGGGCAAUGAUUGGAUUUAGCCUUCUGGCUACUCCUAUCUUCCUACAAUCCAUUCAUUUAUCAUAUGACAAGAAAGUAAUAAUUUAAGAUUUUUUAGAAAAGUCAAAAGUUCUUGACCACAUAGUGGUUUUUAAUUACGCAAUUGGUGAGCUACACAAAGACACGAAAAUGACAGUGACAUGAGAAACUUACCUUCUAAUCUGCAAUCCCCUAGUGCCACACGAGGAAACCACAGCAAAACAUUGGACAUUCUCAAUGUCUCCUUGACAACCUGCAAUGUACAUGAUUUAAGUUGUCAAUUGCCACUUCGUACAUUGUGAAUAAAGUUCUUUACAAUCUGAAGCAGUCUGUAUACUCUUACAAAAUAAGGACAAACUUAGGCUACUUAUAACCUUUGAACCGUAGGACAUUUUUUUAAGAUCUUCAAGGGUAAGCAAUUCUCCAUCUUCCUUCUUUUGUAGAAUUGACAGUUGUUCUUCCUGGAAAUUUGAAAUGGGUAUUACUUAUUAGUAUUCACUCCUCAGAAGUGCUUGGAAUGAAAAGAAUGAAGAGGUGUGGUUAAUGUUAACGUUUGUUAGUUUUUUUCAAAGUAACUUAACAGGUUUUGGAUCUUACCCGCAGCCUUUCUUGGGCCUCUUUGUUCUCGUCCAGGAACUUGAUACACCACAUCAUAGCAGCAGCUGUAGUGGUUUGACCUGCAAUUAUCAGUGUCAAUAGGUUAUCCAUUAUCUCUGAGUCAUCCAGCUUUUCAUUUGAAGGAUAUGAAUCUCUCUGCAACAUUGACUCCAGGAAGUCUUCUGGUGACUCCUCUCCCCUUCGCCGUCGGGAAAUUAUCUCUCUAAAUGUUUCCAUGAGUCGUUUUCUUGCCUGCUCAACAUGUUGUUAAUUAAUAUAUAUGUUUCUAAAGUUGAAAGGAGUAAAGAAAAACCACGUUGAAUUGUUUUGUACAAGUAAAUUUGGUGUCUAUAUCUUAAAGUUUCCGACUGUACCUUUAUGCCUUUGUAGUACCUAGUUCCUGGAAUCAUGAAUGGGAAAGAUAACAUGGCUUCAGAGACGGCUGUACAGUCUUUCUCAAUCUGUCUGAGUGUAGAUUCAUCCCUUAGACUCAUUAGCAUAUUGCAGAUGGAAUCAAAUGUUAUCUGCAAAUCACACAACAUAAAAAUAAAAUAUGUUGUCUGCUCAAGUCAAACAGACAAGUUUGAGAAAGAUUACUAAAAUUUUAUUUUCUGUAACCUUCAUGCUAAAAUCAAGCAGUACAAAACUUUUCCCAUCUUUUUCUAGUUUCUUUAGCCUUUUGGAGAGCAUGUCGUCAAAUUCUUUGACAAACUUAGACAGAGAAGUCAUGGAGAAAGGAUCAGAUAGAAGACGUCUAAUUCUUCUGUGAUUCUCAUGGGAAACGCAUAGUAAACUCUUCUCUCCAACAGCAUCUCCCAUGGAUUUCACGUAUCCCUUGUUGAAUUGGACAAAAUCAUUGGAAAAUAUUGCUUUUGCCCCCUCUGCGCUUGGAACAAACACAUGUAUCUUUCCAAAUAGCCUUGUCUUGAACCACCUACCAUGCCUGGUUUAGUGCCACCACAGUCAUCAAUUGCAUGUUCUAAACUGCCUGGGAUGUAUAUGCUAAUGUAUGUAUGCAUGCAUGUGUAUAUGUUUGUGUAGAUCUAUCUUCUCAAAUAGCCAUGCCAUUCUCACCAGUAGUUUUAGUGUACAAAUUCACUGGAGUUAACUCUUAUCCGAUGAUAGACAAAGUCUAGUUUUGUAGCCAAAUGCUCUAAGAUUAUCAAAUGAGAAGCUGAAGAAAUCAUCUAAAAUAUAUAAAUUUCAAAAUUUAGAAAGACGGUCCAAACUUGAUGGCCUUGAAUGAGGAAAAUUUGAAUCAUAUUAAAGGAAUAUUAGAAGUCAUUUUGAUGAAAGUGCUUGUGUAAAGAAUAUCCAUAAUCACCAUGAGGGAGAGAACCACUUACCACAACCUGCGGAGUCUGACAAAGUGGUAACACCCUCUGGUACUGUUAUUAGCAGAAAGAAAAGAGAAGGUUUCCCCUACAAAAGGUAACCCCAAGUAACCAGGAAUUCCUCCAUCAUUCUUGCUCCUCACUCUCCACCAAACUUUCGAAACCAACACUAAAACAGCUAUGGAAAGAAGUGCUGCCACUGUAGGGUUAAAAUACAUUUGAGCUAUGAACACAAGCCCUUCCUUACACAACAUCCUCAACUUUUCUCCCUCGAACUCUUCUGAUUGAGACUAUUUGAUGAAAACAAUGAAUGGUUCCAAUGUGAUAGGAGAUUACUCUUCCGAGAUGCUGCAAUAUAUAAAUAUUAGAGAGGGUCAGAGUGUUCACAAGAUAAGAUUGUGGUAUAUAUUUAAAUGGUCGCCAAUGUAUAUCCUUGGAUGCUUAAGCAUGAGAAUGGAAAGAUUCAUACCAUAAAAACGACACAUUAUAUGAUAUCCACCCGUGUUUAAUCUUUAUUUCAAGUUGGGGUCUAUUAUGUUUGUUUACUGAUAGAAUAUAUUUAUCAUAUAGUGGAAAAUAACCACUCACUUUCUUUUAUAGUUAUGAUUGUGAUAUAUGGAUUUGAUGUUUAUAUGGGGUCUAAACUAAAUGCUUGUAACAUAUAAUUGAAGGACUCCUUAGAUGCCCACCAAUAUUUUAUUUGAUGGAGAUCAAUCAGACUAUACAUGUGGAUUGAGCAUUCGUAUUUGGCGUUAAUUGGUUGAUCUUUUAUACUUCUAUAUAGCUGUCUUUCAUUAUAUUUCUCAACUAGGGUACUUUUGUGGAUCUGAACUGAUAGUAACAUAUUGUAGUUAUGAGAUUAUUAUUAGCAUGAUUUGGUAAUAACAAGGAGUCCACUAAUCUUUGCCUCUUCUUUCCUCUCCCCCUAUACUUUUCCCUUUUUGGACCCCACUUUAUUCUCUUUCCUUGCAUCAAUUUACCUUUUCACUUCCUCAAAUUUGGCAGGAAAAGUAUUUUGAAAAAGGUGAAUAUAUAUGGAAAACUGAUACUGAAAUUUGGUCGGGGGUUUACAUAUGGAGAAUGGCUUUGGAGAUUCCUAUAGAAAAAUGGAAAUGGAAAGGACCCACUUUGAAAUUUUGAAGGAUAUGUUUUGUGGGGAAACCCAGGAGAGGGAAGGAGGGUAGGUUCUUGGAGUGUAAAGGUCAGGGUCAGGGUCAGGUCUGUGAACACUUUUAUAUAUAUGAAAAUGAUGGUAUAAGAGGAACCAAAAGGCCAUUAAAAUGGAUGUGUAGCAGUAACUUUGUUACCAAGCAGUGGGUAAUGCUAACGUAAGAUGAUAACAACUCUGAAAGUAAUUAGUUGAAUGAAUGAUAGGGAAAGGUUUUUUAUAGUGUUGUGGCCGGCAAUGCCCAUAAUAAAACAACUUCUUGCUUCGAUGGAUUGCUGUUGUUUGUUUCCUUUCAAGGGUCCCAACAAAACAACCCCAAUUACUUUUAUUUCUUUUUCUCUUUUGAGGUUCUAACCUUGUUGGAUUUUCUGUCUUAUUACACAUGUUCUUCCCAACUAUUCUCUCCCUCUUAUGUUACUGUUUUUUGUCUCACUCUUCAUCAACUUCCGCCUCCAUUACAAAGGAUCAAACUUUCCAUCAAAACUGUUCUAAAAUCUAUUUUUCAUAUGUUUUUCGUUUUGGAUUCUUUCAUUUCUUUGAACCAAUGAUUCUAUCUUUUCAUUUUUGUGUGCUGUGUGACUCUUGAUAAUUGAAAUUAGAAGGAACAUAAUUAGAAUAUUUUCAAUUGACAAUGACCCUUUUUUAUUUUUAAAAAUUUGGUUUUGUAUCCAUCCUUUAUGAAUGAUGAGUUUGAGUUUGAGUUUAUAAAAUAUUAGAUAUCAUUCAGUAUUUCCUUUUGUGGUGCAAAAUAAAAUGCCUUUUGAUCCUCAUCGUAUCAAUCACAUAUUUGGAUUGCUUUCUAUUUAACUUUUGUUUCUUUAUUUUUCCUUUUUCUUCACUAUUAUUUCUUUCUUCAUCUUUUUCAUUCAUUAAUCAAUUGUAUGGAGAAUCAUAUCAUAUCAUAUCAUUGCACACUUAAUUGAAUUUCUCAUUUAUUCUUCUUCUCUUUCACUAUUGACAUCAUCAUCUUUUUCUUUUCUACUUCCUUUCUCACUCUAACUUUUAAUUCAAAUUCAAUUAUCUUAUUUGAUCUAUAUAUUUAGAAAAGAACAUAUGACCAACUCUUCUCAAUCUUCCUUCUUUCUCUUACUCAUUGGUCUCACUUUUUUCUCUCCUUAUUAUUCAUCCUCCUGCUUCCAUUCUUGAUUUGAGAAGAAGAAGAAGCUAAGAAGGCGACAGAAACAAAAGAAGAAUAGGAAUGGAUCAUAAUCCAUAAUUGAAGAAAAUAGAAAGAAUCCAUAUGACUGUGAUGGGAGUUUCAUAAUUGACUCUUGGAUUUUGUUAUUAAUUAGAAAGCUAAGCUUCCUAAUUUAAAAUAUAUGGAAGCAUUGGGUGAUGAUGAUAAUAAAUUAGAAUGUUUCUUCUUGCCCUUCCAAUUUAUUCUUAUAAUAAAAAGAAAUUUGAAAGUAAGUUCACCAAUUGGGCUUCUAGCCCAUUUAUAAGCAAUGGGCUUACAUGUUUCUUUGGGUAUUUCACUCCAUUUUGAAAUCCAGCUGACAAAUUAGACUCUUUUUUUUAGUAGUGCCUAACUUUUAUACAUACAUUUUAAAUUACUUAAAAAGCUAUAUAUAUAUAUAUAUAUAUAUAAAAAAGGCAAACUUACCAACCAAGCAAGCAAAAAAAAUCUAUAACUUAAUUUUAAAUUUUUUACUAAAUUAAAAAAAAAAAUAAGAAAAAUGGUGAAGUAGUAAUCACAUUAUAAAAUCAGCAAAAAAAAAAAAAAAAAAACAUAAGAUACUGAGAUUGAUUUAUUGAGAAUUAUACCUAAAACUUAGGAUUAGUAUAUAUUAAGAAAUAGAAAGGAAAAAAAAAAAAACAGAUAUAUAGUAAUAGUGUGAUAGGAUAAAAAACAUGAAAGAGAAUUGGUGCUUUUAAAUGGUUAGAUAAAAUAGUUAGGAUUUAAAUGAAUUAAAUUAUUUAAGAAAAAGGAAGAUUUGAGUUUAUAGGUUCAAAUUUCUUGGUGGGCAAGCAAAGAGCAACUCUUUCGAGUUUGAGACCCCAAUACCGAAAAGUAAACACGAUGGUGGAGGCGGACACCUCUUUUCUACGUAUCAUUUUCGACACAUUUUAUUUUACCAUUAUUAUUUCUAAUUUACUACCCAACAACCACAACAAAGACUCCUAAACACUUUUGGUCAAUCCCAUAGCACAAAGAUGAAGACCAACGCAAAAGGAAACUCCCAUGCUUUCUUCUUCUUCCUUAUUUAAACUAACUUAACACUCCCUCUCUUCCACGCUAAAUUCCGCCCCAACCAUCAUCCAUGGCUUUUGAUCCCUCUAUCGCCCAAUCUAACCUCCCCAACGCCAAGGCCAUUCUCACCGCCGCCGCCUCCUUCGCCGCCACCGUCCUCCUCCUUCGCUCCAUUGCCAACGACUUACUCCCCUCCGAAUUCCGUGAAUAUUUCUACGAUGGCAUUCGAACCAUCUUCUCCCGAUUCUCCUCCCAACUCACCAUGGUCGUCGACGAGAUGGAUGGUCUCGGCCCCAACCAAAUCUACGAAGCUGCUGAGAUUUAUUUAGCCACCAAAAUCUCCCCUUCCACUGCCAGACUCAAAGUCAGCAAACCCGAGAAGGAAGAUAACAUCACCACCGCCGUUGAAAGAAACGAGGAAGUUGUUGACACCUUCAAUGGCGUCAAAUUCCACUGGGUCCUCGUCUGUGAACAAGUCCAGCGGGAAAAUUUCCACAAUCCCCGGUCUCCUUAUAGAUCCGUCAUUCGAUCCUUCGAGCUCUGUUUUCACAAGAAACACAGAGAAAUGGUUCUCAAAUCAUACUUACCCCACAUUCUCCACCAAGCUAAAGAACUAAAGCAGCAGACUAAAACCUUGAAGAUCUACACCUUUGACUAUCAGAACAUGUAUGGUAGCAUCUCCGAUUUAUGGAUUCCGACCAAUCUCGAUCACCCUUCCACGUUCGAGAAGCUGGCCAUGGACUCUGAGAUUAAGCAUUUCAUUUUGAAUGAUCUCGAACGGUUUGUGAAGAGGAAGAAGUACUACGAGAAGGUGGGUAAGGCUUGGAAGAGAGGGUAUUUGUUGUACGGUCCUCCAGGAACUGGGAAAUCGAGCUUGAUUGCAGCAAUGGCGAAUUACUUGAAAUUCGACGUGUAUGAUUUGGAAUUAACAGGGGUAGAAUGCAAUUCGGAUCUUCGGAAGUUGUUGAUGGGAAUUGCGAACCGUUCGAUUCUAGUGGUGGAGGAUAUUGAUUGUUCGGUUGAGUUUCAAGACAGAGAUUCGGAAAAGGAUGAAGAAGAAGACCCAUCGACUUCGAGGAGGAGAAGACUGGUGACGUUAUCGGGUUUGUUGAAUUUUAUUGACGGACUAUGGUCUAGCUGCGGCGACGAGAGGAUAAUUAUAUUCACGACGAAUCAUAAAGAGAAGCUGGAUCCGGCUUUACUCCGGCCGGGAAGAAUGGAUGUUCAUAUUCACAUGUCGUACUGUACCCCAUGUGGAUUUAGAGUUCUUGCGUCCAACUACCAUGGGAUUGAGAACCAUAGGUUGUUCGGUGAAAUUGAGGGAUUGAUUCCCGGUGCGAAAGUGACUCCAGCAGAGGUGGCGGAGCAGCUGCUGAAAGGCGAGGAGAGUGACAAUUCAUUGAUGGAUUUGAUUGAAUUUCUGAAGGUGAAAACAAGGGAAAAUGAAGAAGGUGGAGAGAAGGAGAAGGAAGGGAAGAAAGAAGGGAAAGAAAAUGGAAGGGAAAAUGAAGAAGGUGGAGAAAAGGAGGAGAAGGAAGGGAAGGAAAAUGGUAGAGUAGCUUCAACAGAGAAAUAAUGUUUUCCGGUGGCCGUGAUGACGAUGAUGACGAAGAACAUAUUUACUAAUUUACCCCUCACUAUGUUGAAAUUAAUCAAUUAAUUGUAUUUUUUCUUUUUUUUGUUUGUAAAGGAUGAGAAAAUACGUUAGAUAAAACUAAAAAUAAAAGGUAUAUUGAAAUUGACAGUGUGUACUGUGUUAAAGUUGAUUAAUUUAGAAAGUUGGACGGAAAUUAGUAAAGAAAUAUUGAAUAGCCAGGAAAGAAAGGAUCCAAAUUAGGAGUUGAGUUGAAGUGAAAAGAAAAUGUCACAUUUUGCAAUAGUCAAAUAAAUACUAAUUGGAGAAACUUUUGCUUCCUUUGUAAAAGAAAAAUCAACCUCUAAUUUAAUAAGUCUCCCGAGAAAAAUCAACCUCUAAUUUAUUGAAAUAUUGCUUGGGUUCCAACUAAGACAUAGGAGAGAAUGAAUUCUCUUCACCUAAAUACUUUUUUCUUCUUCUUAUUUUCUUUUUUCAAGAUCGGAUUUUCAAUCCAACACAUUCUUGCCUUCUUUUUUAUAUAUAUAUUUAAAUAACUACGUAAGGAUAACUUUUUGCUUUUUAAAUCAAACCCUAUUCAAAUUUUAAUUGUAAUUUAUCUUUCAUUCAUUUGUCAUGAAUUUUAUAAAAAAAAAAUUAUUUGUAAUUUUAUAAAACCCUAUUUGUUGACCGACAUCCAUGAAUAAAGAUGAUAGACCCUUUAUUAUAACAUCACUACAAGGAUAAUGGAUUUGCCAACGCAGUAGUGCGUCAGAAAAAUGGAAAAAACGUUGACAAAAGUUAUACUCUUAAUGUCAUAAAUAAGACCAUCAACCAAAAUGUCGAAAGUAAAACAUUUAGAAUACUUUAACCGCGCGUGCUAAAGGAAUGACGUCGAGCGUGUAUUAUCCCAAACGUCGUUGAUGUGAACGUAAAAAUAACGUCAACAACGGGGUAAGUCCAACAUCACGUCCACGGGUCGGAUGUUUAUUUUAUGUAAAAAUUUUGAAGGAAAGAAAAGGAGAGUUUUAGGCAGUGUGUGAAGACUGAAGGGGGGAGUGGGCGAAUGGAAGUCGUCGCUUGGGAGUCACGUGUGGGUCGCACUCAUAUUAAUUAUUACGUGACUCUCUUAAGUUAUAAUUACUUUUCUUAGCAAUGUAUUCAUGUAUUGAUAUAUACCUUUGAUAUGGUUGAUAGUGGUACAUAGACUUUGAAUUAAAAUAAUAGAAUUUUGAAUUGACCCCACCUCCCAAAAGACUUUUCUUUUGAGUCUCUUUUCCGUUGGUCAAGACGAUGGAUCCUGAAAAUGGCCACCUCAGAUCGUUAUUUAUCCACUCUUCUCAUUGCCAUUUACUUCAAUGAUUCUUCUUCCUUCUACUACUUCACCACUUCUUUGAUUCAUUACUCCUCAUUUUCCACCAUGCCUUCCAACCCCUCUUCCUCCCAUCCUAAUUUCGCCAAUGUCAAGCCUUUACUUACUGCCGCCGCCUCCUUUGCCGCCACCCUCGUCCUAGCUCGCUCCGUCGCCAACGACUUAUUGCCCCCUCAUCUCCGAUCCUAUUUGUACCAUGGUUGUCGAGACAUCUUCAACCGGUUCUCCUCCCAACUCACUAUGAUCAUCGACGAGAGGGACGGCCUCGGCCCCAACCAAAUCUACGACGCCGCUGACACCUAUUUGGCCACCAAAGUCUCCCCCUCCACUCACAGACUCAAAGUCACCAAGCCCGAGAAGGAAGAUAACAUCACCACCACCAUGGAAAGCAACCAGCAAAUUACUGACAUCUUCGAUGGCGUCCAAUUUCACUGGGUCCUCGUUUGUAGCCAAAUCGAGGAACAAAAUCUCUACAAUCCUCGGUUACCUUUCCGUUCUACCGUCCGAUCUUUCAAACUCUGUUUUCACAGGAAACACAGAGACAUGGUACUCAAAUCGUAUUUGCCCCAUAUUCUUCACCAAGCUAAAGAGCUGAAACAGCAGACUAAAACCUUGAAGAUCUACACCUUUGAUUUCCGUCACAUGUACGGCAACAAUUCGAAUUUAUGGAUUCCGACCAAUCUCGAUCACCCCGCCACAUUCGAGAAGCUCGCCAUGGACUCUGAGAUUAAGGAUUUCAUUUUGAGAGAUCUCGAACGGUUUGUGAAGAGGA